UCCCUUGAUACCAUAAACAAAAAAUACCAUGUCUGCUUUUUAUUCAAUAAUAAUAAUACAAAGAUGACUGAUCCAAACAAUUUUAAGCUCAAACACAAUGUUAUAAGGUAAGAUAAGAACUAAUGUCACAAUAUUACAGGUAAAUCGUUUUUUUUCUUCCUGUUUUUCAAUUUUUAUCACUAUAAUAUUUUCUAUUCCAAAUCUUUAAGAUCCUCAUCCAUUGGUAUGGUAUAGAAGAAGUGUUCAAUUUGCUCGACUGCAUUAUCCUCGCCCUGUGUCUUGUUUCCUCUCUUUAUUGGAGCUAGGCUCUCCUUGUAAUUGAAAACCCAACAGCCAGCAAUGUUAAGGUCCAGCUGAAAUCCAAGAUCUGUAACUUGUCUUGUUGUAGGGUCAUAUAGCACCAGCUGUGAAGUUUCUGUGAUCUCAAAAACCAUGUUAUCGUUAUCCCAGAUGUUGCGAGGCCAAUGAGCAUCUAUAUGAGGUUGUACAGUUAGAACUUUGGACCAAAUUCCCUCUUGUUCAUACCCACACAUCAUAUAUGGAUGUCAUAGGUUUGCCAGGGUCACCGGUUAAUAAAGCAAGUGAGUUGCCACGCAAUGUAAGCGUCCCCCAAUGUUCACUUGGAAUAUCUGGGACUUGCAUCUCCCUAAACUGUUCGCUGCCCAUGUCAAAAGAGCGAAUCGUGUAGAUCUCAUCAAGGCCCCUAGAAAGCCAAUAAUAAACCCCGUUGAGAUAAGUGGCAUCAAGGGGUGCAGAUAAGGUAGAACUGGAAGGGAAUUCAGGAGUUAGGUGUUUCCAUGAGUUGUUGCAUGAGGAAUAAACACAGGCAUAGACACGAGGACAAACACCUUGUCCCGGUUCAUCCCAGAAUACUCGAAUCCAUACAACCUUAUAAUCUUGAGUCAACAGGUCAAAUCCCAAUCCGAACUGAUGAUCAUGGUCCGAGAAAAAGUACUCAAUCUCAAAAGGCGCAGGCGGCAGAGACCUGAACUCUCUGGUGGCAGGAUUCCACAAACCCAAGCAGACAUUGUCUCCAUAAAACUUCUUCUGCACUAAGAAUAAGCCAUCAACUGGACCAGCAACACACGUGAAAUCAGCGACCCUCGGAAGCUGAAGGAGAGUUUUUUGUUCAGGGGUCACACCUGGAACAAUUUCUUCAGGGAGCAAGGAGAAUACAACAGACCUUACGAUGGCGUCUACUUCACGUGCUACUUUCAAGUUGCAAACAAGGAGACGGGCACGAUUGUUCUUGUGAUGAAAAUGUUUUUCUAUGAAACUCGGACUUUUGAUGAGAGCAUACCAGUGCUUGCACACACAUUUGAAAAGCAAGAGUGAUUCCACUGGCAAUCUCAAUAGAAUAUCAACUACUAGAUCUUCUGGUAAAGGACAGCGACCAUCCAUACUGGUGGAAAUAUAAGUAGAAUGAGGCAACUUACAAACAUAUUGAAAGAGAGCAGAUCUAGAAAACAUGCAUUAAUAGAACACACAGUGCAACAAAAAAGAUCAAGUAGUAGCAUUACCAUGUGAAGCAAAAAAGGGGAAGUUACAAAUUUGACCACUCAGCCACAAAUAUUUACAUCCGCAAGCCAUUACACAUAUAUUAUGGGUAUACAUAUUUUUAAAAAUAUUUUGACAAAUCUUCUUGUAGAUCAAUUUUGGAGAAAAGAUCCAAAAUAGUUCCUUAUGUUUGGCUUCAGACUCAAGGUCAUCCCUUCCCUUUCUUUUAUAUGGUGCACUAAUAGUCCUUUAAGUUUCAAGUAUUAGUGCACUUUUAAUCUCUUCAUUAACAUCCAUUUACUCAUUAACGUUUUGAUCCUUUACACAUCCAUUUAUGGCCUCCGCUGUAUACGUUCUGGUAUAACACAAAUUAAUUCUUAGAUUUAUCUUAGCAGUUGCAGAUGAGUCUUCAUUUGUACUUGUUUUAUUUUUUGGCUCUGCAUCUUUCAUUGUUUGGUGUGCACCAUUCAAGAUUUGCUAAUUCUUUAACUUUCUCCUCUAUUUUCCAUACGCAAUUAAUAAGCUGACUAUAAGUCUUUGGGUUUUCCUGAAUAAAAGCUGACUAUAUAUCUGAAACAUAACCAAAGAAUAAAAUAAAAACAAGAAAAAAGGAAAAAUAUAAUACAUACUUAGUCUUCGUGUAUCAAUAUCUCAAAUUAGCAUCGGAUAAAAGUGCACUAAUACUUAAAACUUUGGAGGACUAUUAGUGCACCAAUUGAUGAUUUCGAAUCUAAAGCCAAAAAUAAAGGACUAUCUUGUAUUUUUUCUUUCGAUUUGGGCUGAUAUGGUUUGGACGGAUCAAUAAUCAGCCAAAUAGAGUCAAUAAGAGGAGACUAGUAAAGAAGUAGUCAUGCGGUUUUCUAGUCUUUUCAUUAACUAGUCAAUAAUUAUUUUUAAAGCUACAUAUCAAGUUAGCAUAUAGAGCAAUUUUGCAGGUAAUUUAAGGAUUAAGGAGCAUGAAACAGUAAUUACCCUUUUCUACUAAUAUCAAUCUACAAAUCCUUGGAAAUGGAACAAUUUUAACUUGCCCAAUAUUGAAAUGUAAAAGAUGGAAAGAAAUAAAAAGAAUUAGCAUAAACAGAAACAAUGACAGCAAAACCCUAUAUCCAUCCCCAAAUAGCACAAAUUCAGAUUCAGAUUCAGAUUCAAAUUCAAAAAAAUAAUCAGAAAUCUAACCUUAUAAGCUGAUGAAGAAGAAGUGCCGCAAUUACGACAAGGUAAAAAUGGAAAAAGAGAUUGGAUUGAUUGAGUGGUGUUGUAGAAAUACCUCCAACAGUUGACUACUUCCUCACUUUCCUACACUUCUUUUGUCAUUUUAGUUUAUAUAACUCCCCUUAAUUCCUUUUAUCCAAGUUUUUAAUACCAAGGGAUAUGAUGGAGUAAUAAGUACUUAUUCAUUGUUAAUUAGAGGUCUUGGAUUUGAAUCUUUUGGCUAUGAAGUCAUCCGUGUUAGGGAGCACUUUACCCAUAAUGUGAGAUUUUUCGACUGGGCUCUAAUAUGGAUACCGAACAUUGAGCGAUUUUUCUUUUUUUACCUUAGUGGUCAUUUGGUAGGUGGAUAAAGCUACAUCUAAUACAUGAAUCACUACAAGAAAAGUGCUGAUUACCUGGGAAUUAUUGUAGAGAAUAUAUGAUAACCCUAAUGGGUGGAGGGAGGACCAAUUUAUAGAGGUUAUGAUUUAAUCUGGUAUAUCCAUCAAGUAACCAAUGUACGGACGAGAUCUAUUCCUUAUUAAAUAUUAUUUAUGGUAUUACUUGCGUUACUAGUAAACUUGAGCCAUAAGUAAGAAAUAAUUAAUAAUAAUUAAUAAUAAUUCUUACACUUCGGGGUGCCUUCGCCAUAGUUCAAGUCUGGAGUCGGCCAUUUCAGUUCUUGAAAGCUUUUAAUCUAGCUAGUGUUAUUCAUAGUACUUCCGUGUACUUAUCGACCUUAUGUGAGUCCAAACUCGUUUGAGUUAUACAUUUACUUUCUAAUUGUGCACGAGUAUACAUACUUUCUAGGCUUAUAGAGGUCCAGUUAGGUUAUAGAUUAUUGCUUUACUUUACUACUUCGUUCUUUUCAGACUCGUGAGCUAUAUAGUUAGACUUUCCGUUAUUGCUUUGUUCAUUUGACCUCUAAUUACUGUUACUUUCAUAUUCUUCAUAUUGUUUUUACUUUCCAAGUUCAGUUGACCUAUGAUGCCUACUGGACACCUGUUGUUCUGAUAUUCAUGCUACACUCCACAUCUGUUUUCUUGAUGUGGAUUUGAGCGCCAGCCGACAACGGUGAUUGGAGCCUAAGUAAUGCGGAGAUCUUCUGAGAUGAAUGGUGAGCUAAUGGCGUCCUAGUUCGACUUAUCUCCAUAUGUAUAUAAUUUUUUACAUGUCUUUUGUAUUCGAGACAAAUUUAUUAAGUUAGUCAAUAGCAUAGGCUCGAAACUAUGACUAGAACAUUGAGUGCAUGACAUGCACAUCUUACUCCUUACUUUCCUUAUUCGUGCCUGUUUUUUUCAUACUUUCUAACUUUCACUAGUACAUUAUCCCUUGUUAAGGAAAAUUAUGUAAACAAAAUAGUAAAUGGCCUGAUCCACUUAAGAGUGAGGGCUAGUUCAUUGAUUGAUACAGCUAAAUCACAUUAAAUAAUAAAUACGGAGGAGGGCCUAAAAUACCCUUCAAGUAUAGGUAAUGGAACAAAAAUACCCUCUUCCACCUUUAGGCUCCAAAAUACCCUUCCAUCCAUCUAUAUGGACCUAUAUUACCCUUUCACUUAACAGAUUCUUUAAGACUAAUAAUUAAUCUUUUCAUUAAUGAUGUGACAGUCUUUAAUUGGUUGAAAUUGGAAUUAACCAAAAUAAGAAUUUCUCUUAAUUAAACCCAGAUCCAACUAAAUUCCACCCGACUCACUUAAAAUUCUAUUGACCCAUAUCUUAAAUAAUCAAACUUCAAUCAACAACUUGCUCCAGUUAUUUUUAAUCCCAGUCAAAAAAGAGGUACAUUAGACCAUAAACAACAUGAAACUUCCGAAAAUUCCCUGGAAACAUUCCAAGAAGGAAGAAGUGAAAUACAAGAUCAAGUGCCACUAUAAUCAUAUACCAAUAUACACCAUAUUUUGAAACACUAUGAAAAGUCCAGCAAAUCUCCAAUCUCUGGGAAACAUAAACUCAAAGCGGUAAAAUUUCUCAAAAUCCGAAACCCUAGAGUUCAAAAAUUAUUUCACUUCUUUCUUUUUUGCGAUUCAUAUAAAGCACCGCACGCAAAAAGCAAAACCAACAUAAUUUUGGGAAAUUCUCAAAGCAGAAUCAUGGAAUAGAAUAUAAAAAAAAAAUAAAAAAUUUAGCCAUAGCAAGAGAUUAUAUACUUGAUGAAGAAAAGCGAUAGAUAUCGCUUUUCUUCAUCUGCAAAUUUUACGAGAAAAUUAUAUGGAGAGAAAUUCAGUGUACAGAGAAAAAAAAGGAAACUCACCGCUACACACUCGAUUCUUCUUGUUUUUUUUUAAAGAUAUGGGUCAGUAAAAUUUUACGUGGGUUGGGUAGAGUUUAGUUGGAUCCGGGUUUGAUUUGGAGAAAUUAUUGUUUUUGCUUAAUCUAAAUUCCAGCCAAUUAAAGAUUGUCACAUCAUUAAUGAAAAGAUUAAUUAUUACUCAUAAAAAAUCUGUUAAGUGAAAGGGUAAUAUAGGUCCAUAUAGAUGGAUGAAAGGGUAUUUUUGAGCCCAAAGGUGGAUGGAGGGUAUUUUUGUUCCAUUCCCUAUACUUGAAGGGUAUGUUAGGCCCUUCUCCGUAAUAUAUAUUACAUUUUUGAACUGUUAAACUAGAAACAAGAUUUAGGAUUUUUCAAGUGGACCAAAAUACAGAUAUUGAUGCCGAGUACUUAAAGUCUGUUGCUUGCCGAUACUCUAAAAGUAGUAGUGUAUUUUUGGAGAAUCUAACAUGAGUGGAGAGUACACGCGCAACUUAGCUUAAAUUGUGUUGGUCCAAAAGGAAUGCCCCUUGAUACCAUAAACAAAAAAUACCAUGUCAGCUUUUUAUUCAAUAAUAGUACAAAGAUGACUGAUCCAAACAAUUUUAAGCUCAAACACAAUGUUAUAAGAAGACAAGAUACGAACUAAUGUCACAAUAUUACAGGUAAAUCGUUUUUUUUUCUUCCUGUUUUUCAAUUAUUAUCAUUAUAGUAUUUUGUAUUCCAAAUCUUAACGAUACUCAUCCAUUGGUAUGGUAUAGAAGAAGUGUUCAAUUUGCUCGACCUCGCCCUGUGUCUCGUUUCCUCUCUUUAUUGGAGCUAGGCUCUCCUUGUAAUUGAAAACCCAACAGCCAGCAAUGUUAAGGUCCAGGUGAAAUCCAAGAUCUGUAACUUGUCUUGUUUUAGGGUCAUAUCGCACCAGCUGUGAAGUUUCUGUGAUCUCGAAAACCAUCUUAUCAUUAUCCAAGAUGUUGCGAGGCCAAUGAGCAUCUAUAUGAGGUUGUACAGUUAGAACUUUGGACCAAUUUCUGUCUUGUUUCAUUACCCACACAUCGUAUAUGGAUGUCAUUGGUUUACCAGGGUCUCCGGUUAACAUAGCAAGUGAGCCGCCAUGCAAUGUAAGUGUCCCCCAAUGUUCACUUGGAAUAUCUGGGACUUGCAUCUCCCCAAACUGUUCGCUGCCCAUGUCAAAAGAGCGAAUCGUGUAGAUCUCAUCAAGGCCCCUACAAAGCCAAUAAUAAACCCCGUUGAGAUAAGUGGCGUCAAGGGGUGCAGAUAAGGUAGAACUGGGAGGGAAUUCAGGAGUAAGGUAUUUCCAUGAAUUGUUGCAUGAGGAAUAGACACAGGCAUAGACACGAUUAUUAGCACCUUGUCCCAGUUCAUCCCAGAACACUCGAAUCCAUACAACCUUAUAAUCUAGAGUCAACAGGUCAAAUCCCAAUCCGAACUGAUGAUCAUGGUCCGAGAAAAAGUACUCAAUCACAAAAGGCGCAGGAGGCAGAGACCUGAACUCUCUGGUGGCAGGAUUCCACAAACCCAAGCAGACAUUGUAUCCAUAAAACUUCUUCUGCACUAAGAAUAAGCCAUUAACUGGACCAGCAACACACGUGAAAUCAGUGAUCCGAAGCUGAAGGAGAGUUUUUUGUUCAGGGGUCACACCUGGAACAAUUUCUUCAGGGAGCAAGGAGAAUACAACAGACCUUACGAUGGGGUGUACACGUGCUACUUUCAAGAUGCAAACAAGGAGGCGGGCACAAUUAUUCUUGUGAUGAAAAUGUUUUUCUAUGAAACUCGGACUUUUGAUGAGAGCAUACCAGUGCUUGCACACACAUUUGAAACGCAAGAGUGAUUCCACUGGCAAUCUCAAUAGAAUAUCAACUACUAGAUCUUCUGGUAAAGGACGGCGACCAUCCAUACUGGUGGAAAUAUAAGUAGAAUGAGGCAACUUACAAACAUAUUGAAAUAGAAUAGAUCUAGAAAACAUGCAUUAAUAGAACACACAGUGCAACGAAGAAGAUCAAGCAGCAGCAUUACCAAUGUGAAGCAAAAAAGGGGAAGUUACACAUUUGACCACUCGGCCACAAAUAUUUAUAUCCGCAAGCCAAUACACAUAUUAUGGGUAAACAUAUUUUUAAAAAUAUUUUGACAAAAUUUCUUGUAGAUCAAUUUGGGAGAAAAGAUCCAAAAUAGUUCUUUAUGUUUGGCUUCAGACUCAAAGUCAUCCCUUCCCUUUCUUUUAUAUGGUGCACUAAUAGUCCUUUAAGUUUCAAGUGUUAGUGCACUUCUAGUCUCUUGAUUAACAUCCAUUUACUCAUUAACGUUUUGAUCCUUUACACAUCCAUUUAUGGCCUCCGCUGUAUACAUUCUGGUACAAAACAAAUUAAUUCUUAGAUUUAUCUUAGCAAUUGCAGAUGAGUCUUCAUUUGUACUUCGUUUUAUAUUUUGGCUCUGCAUCUUUCAUUGUUUGGUGUGCAGUAUUCAAGAUUUGCUAAUUCUUUAACUUUCUCCUUUAUUUUCGAUACACAAUUAAUAAGCUGACUAAGUCUUUGGGUUUUUCCUGAAUAAAAGUUUCUUGCGCUUUGCCUAUAUAUCUGGAGCAUAACCAAAGAAUAAAUAAAAACAAGAAAAAAGGAAAAAUAUAAUACAUACUUAGUCUUCGUGUAUCAAUAUCUCAAAUUAGCAUCGGAUAAAGGGUGUGUUCCGUAGAAAAUAGUUUCUAAUCAAAAUUUUUGGAAAAGAUUUUCUUAGGAAAACAAGUUCCAUACGUGACACUUCAAAAUUCAAAUGAAGAAAAUGACUUUCUAAAGGAAGUAGGGAAAACAAGUUUCAUAUGUGACAUUUCAAUUGAGUAUGUCCUCCCACUCUCUAAGACACCACAUAUUCACCUCACUCCCGUAGCUUCCAUACCCACUACCCUACACAUCUACCCCACCUCCGUCCCUCAUAGUAUUGUCUAGAUAAUACAUAAAUGCUUUUAGAAUAAUAUUAAAUUUUUUUUGCUUAUAUACCAAACACAAAAUAUACAUAAGAAUCUCACUUAUUUUCCUAGAAAAUAUUUUUCAAAAAAUAUUUUCCUUGGUACCGUACACACCCAAAGUUCCAAUGUCCUCGGAUAAUAUCAGCCAAAUAGAGUCAAUAAGAGGAGACUAGUAAAGAAGUAGUCAUGUGGUUUUCUAGUCUUUUCAUUAACUAGUCAAUAAUUAUUUUUGAGCUACAAAUCAAAUUAGCAUAUAGAGCAAUUUUGCAGGUAAUUUAAGGAGCAUGAAACAGUAAAUACCCUUUUCUGCUAAUAUCAAUCUACAAAUCCUUGGAAAUGGAACAAUUUUAACUUACCCAAUAUUGAAAUGUAAAAGAUGGAAAGAAGUAAAAAGAAUUAGCAUAAACAGAAACAAUGGCAGCAAAACCCUAUAUCCAUCCCCAAACAGCACAAAUUCAGAUUCAGAUUCAAAUUCAAAAUAAUAAUCAGAAAUCUAACCUUAUAAGCUGAUGAAGAAGAAGUGGCGGACAAGGAAAAAAUGGAAAAAGAGAUAUCGGAUCGAUUGAUUGGUGUUGUAGAAAUACCUCAACAGUUGACUACUUCCUCACACUUCUUUCGUCAUUUUAUUUUACUACUUCUUGGGAACGCGUUUGUUCCUCUCCUUUUUUUUUCUCGCGUGUGUUCCUUAUUAUUAUUAAAUUUUUAUAUACUAAAAAGUUGAGUUAUAAAAUAGAAAAUGCUGAAAUUAACAAUAGUAGUUUUAUCAUUUAUAUUUUAUUUACUAAAUAAUAAAAAAUAUAUACUGGAGCAUUUUUUGUUAACCUUCAUUUGUUGUUUCUCACUCUCUUUUCUUCUCAUGUUGAAAUUUGAUUGUGCAAUUACCUUCCUAUGAUAACAUCAAUCUUUGUGAAAUUGGUUCUUAAAAAGCAAAUUCAAAUUUUAAUUUUGGAAGUGUUUUUACAUAAUAGUGGAGAAUGAUUCUUCAUAUUCAACUUUUAAUUUUGAAUUGUAAUGAACAAUUACUAUUCAAAUACAAAUCUAGUUUAUUUUUAACCUUACAUUUAUUGAAUCUUUAAUGUGUACGUUAAUGAUAUAUAAUAAUUUAUUAAUUAGGUAUUUGAUUUAGUGUAGGGGCAAAAUGGUAAUUCAACUAUACACUUUCGAGUUUUCACUUUUAAUAAGUAAUUAUAAUAUAUACAAAAGAUUAAACCAUUUGAUAUUAAAAAAAUAUAUGUAUGAGUAAUAAUUAACAUUCAAUGGCAAAAGAAUGUAUCACAUUCUCAUAAACAAUAUCUCUAAGGCAAAAGUAGACAUUCUAAUUUGGACAAUUACUACUUAACUACUUAUGGGUUCAGCCAAUAAUCUGGAGAUAGGAGUUUGACAAUUUUUCAGCCAUAGUUAAAAUUCUACAUCAAUAAUAAAUAGCUUCUUAUCACAGUAAAUAGACAUUUGAAUAAUUAAUAUAAAUUGAGCAACACAAACUUUUCAAAAUGACUUAUUCUAGAUAUAUAAUAGGGAAAAGGGUCAAAAUUACCCCUCAGUUUUGUUUUAUUGGUUAACUUUAUCCUUACCAUUAAAAACAAGUUAUUUUUACCCCUGUCGUCAAUAAACUUAACAAAUAUACCCCUCCUUGAACGGAAACCCCCAAAUCAAUUGAAAUUACCCGAUUUUAAUUGAAAUUAUCCAAUUUCUUUUUUAACCCGAACUAGAACCCAACCCACUAAACUAAACAAAUUAACCCAUUUCCAAUCUUCUUCAUCUCAGUGUUCUUGGCUAAGUACCCUAAGAACACUCACAAUCUUUAUCAUAGCUAACACAUAAAUCCUACAUUGUCUGACAAAAUCAAUUGAAAAGGUUCGUUGGUUGAAUGUAUAACAAGUAAAUUAUUUUUGCUGAACAACAUCCCGCCUCUCUCUGUUGUGGGGUUCAGCGAAGAACAAGCCACAGAGCAAGUAAAUGGAAAAGUUUCAAUUUACACAUCAUCAUUCAAUCCAAUGAAGAAAACCAUUUCUAGGUACCAACCAAAUUACUUUUUGAUUUGUUGUCAGUAGGCUGCCCCUAAAUGUGUACCCAAUAGUACAUCUAAUUCUUCUUUACCUGGCUCGUAAAUCAAUUCAGUGGCCCUCCAUGAUUCUUGUAUGUGCACGUAAAAUUAAGCUACAAUGGAGGGGAGGUUUUUCUUUUCUCUAUCUUUUUAUUUGUUCAAAAUGUUUCCAAUAUAUCAUCAUAUUUGAUGAGUACUGGAUAUUUGAUGAUUACUGAUUUCUUGUAUGUAGCAAAUCAUGUGAUUGAACGACUGCAGUGUUUAGCCUAGGCAACCUUCAACAAACAAUUUGGAGAUAAAUAUCAGGUCUUUUCGAUUGAUUUUGUUAGACAAUGUAGAAUUUGUGUUAGCUAUGAUAAAGAUUGUGAGUGUUCUUAGGGUACUUAGCCAUGAACACUGAGAUGAAGAAGAUUGGAAAUGGGUUUAUUUGUUUAGUUUAGUGGGUUGGGUUCUGGUUCAGGUUAAAAAAGAAAUUGGAUAAUUUCAAUUAAAAUUGAAUAAUUUCAAUUGAUUUGGGGAUUUCCGUCCAAGGAGGGAUAUAUUUGUUAAGUUUAUUGACGGCAGGGGUAAAAAUAACUUGCUUUUAACGGUAAGAGUAAAAUCAACCAAUAAAAUAAAGUUGAUGGGUAAUUUUGACCCUUUUCUCUAUAUAACAUAUAUGGACAAUUUGAGGAAUGAAUGUUUCAACACAUGAAUAAUAGACUAAUAAGGUCAAUAGAUUAUACAUAUAAAUGAAAAGUUAAAUAAAAAUACAGCCUCAAAAUCACAUACUAUGAUCCAUCAUUUAUCUCCAAUUCGGUGGCCCAGUUUAUUUUAGGGUAUGGAUUCUUUUAUUUUUAAAAAAAAAACAUAUUUGAUUUUUCUCAUUUAGUUAUUCCUCUCCCUACUCAUAAAUAAUAAUCUCGAAAAAAUAUUUUUACUAAAGUAGAACACUCUAUCAAGAGCCAAAUAAACAUAUCAAAUUAACUAAUUAAUCUUUCAUCAAUUAUUGAUAGAACAUGAAUUGUAUAUCACUACUUUCUUCAUGUAGGAUACAAGAUAUUUCAAUAGAAAAACAAAAUCAUAAGAAAGCAUAUCAAAAUAUAAAAAAAGGACAUAUAAAAUACUUUGGCUGGACAAGGAGGAGCGGAUAAAAACAAAAGGAAAUUACUGCACAUACAAAAUGAUGAGCAAGAUUAGUUUUUUGCAGGAUAGUCUCUCAUCCUCCUCUUAUCAUUUACAUGAAAACCAUGCUAGGCAUUUUAUAGCAAUAGCUAGGAUGACCUUUGAGUAGAUAAUUAAUUUGCAUUAAUUUAGUUUAAUGAUUUUAGUCCAUAUCAAAUUUAUUUAAUGGAAAACUCUUCAAAUACUCUUGAUUUUACAGAAAAAGAGAAAUUGACUAUUAAUGUGAAUUUGAUUCAUGUACCAAUUUAAAUGAGUUUAAUCUAAGGAAGUGAAAAAAUCAUUAACAUUUUUAUUAAAACGAUACAAUUUAAUAUUUAAAUUAAAUAGUUAAAUAUUUUAUAACAUUUUAAUUUAUAAUAGGGGUAAAACGGUAAUUCAACUUUUAACUUUUUUUAUUCCCGCUUAUAGUAAUAUAUGAUACAACUCCUCUUAAUUCCUUUUAUCUAAGUUUUUAAUUAUGUGGUGGAGUAAUAAGUACUUAUUCAUUCUUAAUUAGAGGUUCCAGUUUGAGUCUUUUUGGCUAUAAAAUCAUCUCUGUUAGAGCGCUUUACCCAUAAUCUAAGAUUUUUCGACACAAAUUCAAAUUUAGUGAGGCUCUAAUAUGGAUAUCGAACACUGAGGGGAAAAUAAAAAUAAAAAUUACCUUAGGGGUUAUUUGGUAGGUGGAUAAAGCUACAUCUAAUACAUGAAUAACAAAGUUAUUUAUGUAUUUAAUUUAUAUAAUGUUUGUAUAAAAGUUAUUCAUAUAUUAACAAAGAUGUUUCUCUCUACGAUAUGUUCCCACAGGAGAAAGAGUUUGUUACUUGAAGAGGGGGGGGGGGGAUGUUGNNNNNNNNNNNNNNNNNNNNNNNNNNNNNNNNNNNNNNNNNNNNNNNNNNNNNNNNNNNNNNNNNNNNNNNNNNNNNNNNNNNNNNNNNNGAAGGGGGGGGGGGGGUAUUUGGAGUCUUUUAGCCACAGUUCGAAGCCCUGACAUAUCGAUCUCUUUUAGCCACGGUUCAAGGUCCCAACGUAUUUUGUUUUGCCACGGUUCAAGGUCCCGACGUAUUUUAUUUUGCCACGGUUCGAGGCCCCAUCAUAUCUCUAUUCGCCUUGGUUCGAAUCCUAACAUGUGGUUCAUUUGGGUUCUUCGGGGUGCCUUCACCAAAGUUCAAGUCUAGAGUCAGCCAUUUUAAGUUCUUGAAAGCUUUUAAUAUAACUAGUGUUAUUCAUAGUACUUCUGUGUACUUAUCAGGCUUAUGUGAGUCCAAACUCGUUUGAGUUAUUUACUUUCCAAUUGCGCACAGGUAUACAUACUUUCUGGGCUUAUAGGGGUCCAGUUAGGUUAUAGAUAAUUGUUUUACUUUACUACUUUGUUCUUUCCAGACUCGUGAGCUAUAUAGUUAGACUUUCCGUUAUUACUUUGUUCAUUUGACCUCUAAUUACCGUUACAUUCAUAUUUUUCAUAUUGUUUUUACUUUCCAUGCCCAGUCGACCUAUGAUGCUACUGGGCACCUGUUGUUUUGAUAUUAUGCUACACUCCACAUCUGUUUUCUUGAUGUAGAUUUGAGCGCCAGCUGAUAAUGGUGAUUCGAGCCUAAGAAAUGCGGAGAUCUUCUGAGAUGAAGGGUGAGCUGAUGGCAUCCUAGUUCGACUUAUCUCCAUAUGUAUAUAGUUUUUUAAUGUCUUUUGUAUUCGAGACAAGUCUAUUAAGUUAGUGAAUAGCAUAGGCUCGAAACUAUGACUAGAACAUUGAGUGCAUGACAUGCACAUCUUACUCCUUAUUUUCCCUAUUCGUACCUGUUUUUUUCAUACUUUCUAACUUCACUGGUACAUUAUUCCUUGUUAAGGAAAAUUAUGUAAACAACUAGUUCUUUGAUUGAUACAACUAAUUCACAUUAAAUAAUAACUAGAAUCUUAUUACAUUUUUGAACUGUUAAACUAGAAACAAGAUUUAGGAUAAGGGAACUAUUUAUUAACUUCACUUCUCCUUAUUAGUGUCAAAAGUUUCUCGUUUAGGAAAUAUGAAGUUUUGAAGGACUAAUAGUAUAUUAUCCUUUUUUAAAAUUGAACUCUAUCCAAUGGUUGAUUCUAUUUAUGAAUCAAUUCCUUAGGUGCAUUAUUUCCAUAGGUUUCAACAUUGGUAACAAAAUCUAGCUUUCUCGCUUAAAUUGACAUAUUUCUAUACUUCCCUCAUCUUAUCUAUCACUGAGGCCGCUCCCAUCUUAUCCCUUAUAUCCUUAUUUAUAAUUUUUAUCGCUCCGAGUAUGAACGUGCAUCCACCUCAAUAUAUAUUCACAUCUCUGCAACAUGCAUCUUCUAGACAUGGGACUUGACUGGCCAACUCUCAUUUCCAUACAACAAUUACAUACACACUCUAUAUAAAUACACACAUACAUAUAUUGAUGGAAAAAUCAUCAACAGAUGAAACUUAAGCAAUACUCCCUCCAUCUCAAUUAAUGUGACAGUCGGAAUUUUGUCUUUUAAAUUGUUAAUUAUUGUGAUUUACCAUUUUUCACAUAAUUUUCAAAUACAUAAAUUUUAUAUCAAAAAAACUUAAAGUUUCUGUAUCCGAAUUUACUAUUAAAUUAUAGAAGUUUGAAUCUCAAAAUUUCAACUAAUGCCACAUAAAUUAAAUCAACUCCAACACUCAGAAAAGCUACAAAAGUUCAAACAUAGAAAGUAAAAAAAAAUUUAAAAAAGAAAUAGAAAAAACCUUGAGAUAAUAUGUCUUGCUAAUUUCCUCUUCAGAUGCUAAUUAAAGGACUUACACCAAGAACAUCAUAAUACUCUGUGUCUUUCACCAUUUUCUUUUCUUUUUCCAAAAUCCCUAUUAACAAAAAAUUUACUCUUUUACCUCCUCCAAUACUCUAAUUACCUUUUUUUUCGCGCUUCUAAAAUCUUAAUACAAGAGCGAAAAACCACUUGAGUGUAAGGAAAGGAAACAAGCCAAACGAAAAAAAAAAAAAAAACUCUCAAAAUUAUAUGAUCAAGAAAACUUGCAAGUACAAAAGGAGAAAGAGGAGGGGGUGGGUGGGGUAUGAUGAAAAGAAUGUCUCAGAAUAAGAGAGUGCCCCAACGAGACAAAGCUGCCUUUCCAGUUCUGAUCAACAAAUUAAUUACGGAAAAUCUGUUGCUUGUCGAUACUCUAAAAGCAGUGUAUUUUUGGAAUUAAGAGGAGUUGUAUAAACUAAAAUGACAAAAGAAGUGUAGGAAAGUGAGGAAGUAGUCAACUGUUGAGGUAUUUCAACAACACCACUCAAUCAAUCCAAUAUCUCUUUUUCCAUUUUUACCUUGUCGUAAUUGCGGCACUUCUUCUUCAUCAGCUUAUAAGGUUAGAUUUCUGAUUAUUUUUUUGAAUCUGAAUCUGAAUCUGAAUUUGUGCUAUUUGGGGAUGGAUAUAGGGUUUUGCUGCCAUUGUUUCUGUUUAUGCUAAUUUUUUUUAUUUCUUUCCAUCUUUUACAUUUCAAUAUUGGGUAAGUUAAAAUUGUUUCUUUUCCAAGGAUUUGUAUAUUGAUAUUAGUAGAAAAGGGUAAUUACUGUUUCAUGCUCCUUAAAUUACCUGCAAAAUUGUUCUAUAUGCUAACUUGAUAUGUAGCUCAAAAAUACCUAUUGACUAGUUAAUGAAAAGUCUAGAAAACCACAUGACUACUUCUUUACUAGUCUCCUCUUAUUGACUCUAUUUGGCUGAUUAUUGAUCCGUCCAACCCAUUUCAACCCAAAUCGAAAGAAAAAAUCCAAGAUAGUCCUUUAUUUUUGGCUUUAGAUUCGAAAUCAUCAAUUGAUGCACUAAUAGUCCUCCAAAGUUUUAAGUAUUAGUGCACUUUUAUCUGAUGCUAAUUUGAGAUAUUGAUACACGAAGACUAAGUAUGUAUUAUAUUUUUCCUUUUUUCUUGUUUUUAUUUUAUUCUUUGGUUAUGCUCCAGAUAUAUAGGCAAAGCACAAGAAACUUUUAUUCCGGAAAAACCCAAAGACUUAUAGUCAGCUUAUUAAUUGCUUAUGGAAAAUAGAAGAGAAAGUUAAAGAAUUAGCAAAUUUUGAAUGGUGCACACCAAACAUUGAAGAUGCAGAGCCAAAAAAUAAAACAAGUACAAAUGAAGACUCAUCUGCAAUUGCUAAGAUAAAUCUAACAAUUAAUAUGUUUUGUACCAGAACGUAGACAGUGGAGGUUAUAAAUGGGUGUGUAAAGGAUCAAAACGUUAAUGAGUAAAUGGAUGUUAAUGAAGAGACUAAAAAUGCACUGACACUUGAAACUUAAAGAACUAUUAGUGCACUAUAUAAAAGAAAGGGAAGGGAUGACUUUGAGUCUGAAGCCAAACAUAAGGAACUAUUUUGAAUCUUUUCCAAACAAUGUUAAGCUCAAACACAAUGUUAUAAAAAGGUAAGAUAAGAACUAAUGUCACAAUAUUACAGGUAAAUCGUUUUUUUUUCCUGUUUUUCAAUUUUUAUCACUAUAAUAUUCUGUAUGUCAAACUCUAAGAUCCUCAUCCAUUGGUAUGGUAUAGAAGUAGUGUUCAAUUUGCUCGACUGCAUUAUCCUCACCCUGAGUCUCGUUUCCUCUCUUUAUUGGAACUAGGCUCUCCUUGUAAUUGAAAACCCAACAGCCAGAAAAGAUAAGGUCCAGCUGAAAUCCAAGAUCUGUAACUUGUCUUGUUUCAGGGUUAUAUAGCACUAGCUGUGAAGUUUCUGUGAUCUCGAAAACCAUCUUAUCGUUAUCCCAGAUGUUGUAAGGCCAAUGAGCAUCUAUAUGAGGUUGAAGAGUAAGAACUUUGGACCAAUUUCCCCCUUGUUUCAUUACCCACACAUCGUAUAUGGAUGUCAUUGGUUUGCCAGGGUCACCGGUUAAUAUAGCAAGUGAGCCGCCAUGCAAUGUAAGCUUCCCCCAAUGUUCACUUGGAAUAUCUGGGACUUGCAUCUCCCCAAACUGUUCGCUGCCCAUGUCAAAAGAGUGAAUCGUGUAGAUGUCAUCAAGGCCCAUAGAAAGCCCAUAAUAAACCCCGUUGAGAUAAGUGGCGUCAAGGGGUGCAGAUAAGGUAGAACUGGGAGGGAAUUCAGGAGUAAGGUGUUUCCAUGAAUUGUUGCAUGAGGAAUAGACAUAGGCAUAGACACGAUUAUUAGCACCUUGUCCCGGUUCAUCCCAGAACACUCGAAUCCAUACAACCUUAAAAUCUUGAGUCAACAGGUCAAAUCCCAAUCCGAACUGAUGAUCAUGGUUCGGGAAAAAGGCCUCAAUCUCAAUAGGCGCAGGAGGCAGAGACCUGAACUCUCUAGUGGCAGGAUUCCACAAACCCAAGCAGAUAUCGUCUCCAAACUUCUUCUGCACUAAGAAUAAGCGAUCAACUGGACCAGCAAGACACGUGAAAUCAGUGAUCCUCGGAAGCUGAAGGAGAGUUUUUUGUUCAGGGGUCACACCUGGAACAAUUUCUUCAGGGAGCAAGGAGAAUACAACAGACCUUACGAUGGGGAGUACUUCACAUGCUACUUUCAAGUUGCAAACAAGGAGACGGGCACAAUUGUUCUUGUGAUGAAAAUGUUUUUCUAUGAAACUCGAACUUUUGAUGAGAGCAUACUAGUGCUUGCACACACAUUUGAAACACAAGAGUGAUUCCACUGGCAAUCUCAAUAGAAUAUCAACUACUAGAUCUUUUGGUAAAGGACGGCGACCAUCCAUACUAGUGGAAAUAUAAGUAAAAUGAGACAACUUACAAACAUAUUGAAAGAGAACAGAUCUAGAAACAUGCUUUAAUAGAACACGCAGUGCAACGAAGAAGAUCAAGCAGCAUCAUUACCAUGUGAAACAAAAAAGGGGAAGUUGCACAUUUGAUCACUCAGCCACAAAUAUUUACAUCAGCAAGCCAAUACACAUAUAUUAUGGGUAUACAUAUUUUUAAAAAUAUUUUGACAAUUUCUUGUAGAUCAAUUUGGGAGAAAAGAUCCAAAAUAGUUCCUCAUGUUUGGCUUCAGACUCAAAGGAUGGAGUAAUAAGUACUUAUUCAUUGUUAAUUAGAGUUCUCGGGUUUGAGUCUUUUUGGCUAUGAAGUCAUCUGUGUUAGGGAGCGCUUUACCCACAAUGUGAGAUUAUUCAGCACAAAUUCAAAUUUAGUGGGGGAUCUAAUAUGGAUACCAAACACCGAGUGGAAAACCAAAAAUAAAAAUAAAAAUGACCUUAGGGGUCAUUUGAUAGGUGGAUAAAGCUACAUUUAAUACAUGAAUAACAAAGUUAUUUAUGUAUUUAAUUUAUAUAAUAUUUUGUUUGUAAAAUGUUGUAUAAAAGUUAUUCGUGUAUUAACAAAGAUGUUUAUCUCUACGAUAUGUUCCCGCAGGAGAAAGAGUUUGUUAUUUGAAGAGGGGGGGGGGGUAUUUGGAGUCUUUUAGCCACAGUUCGAAGCCCUGGCGUAUCUCUUUUAGCCACGGUUCAAGGCCCCAACAUAUUUUUUUGGCACGGUUCGAGGCCCCAACAUAUCUCUAUUCGCCUUGGUUUGAAUCCUAACAUGUGGUUCAUUUGGGUUCUUCGGGUGCCUUCGCCAUAAUUCAAGUCUGGAGUCGGCCAUUUCAGUUCUUGAAAGCUUUUAAUCUAGCUAAUGUUAUUCAUAGUACUUCCGUGUACUUAUCGGACUUAUGUGAGUCCAAACUUGUUUGAGUUAUAUAUUUACUUUCUAAUUGUGCACGAGUAUACAUACUUUCUGGGCUUAUAGAGGUCCAAUUAGGUUAUAGAUUAUUGCUUUACUUUACUACUUUGUUCUUUUUAGACUCGUGAGCUAUAUAGUUAGACUUUCCGUUAUUGCUUUGUUCAUUUGACCUCUAAUUAUUGUUACUUUCAUAUUCUUCAUAUUGUUUUUACUUUCCAAGCUCAGUCGACCUAUGAUGCCUACUGGGCACCUGUUGUUCUGAUAUUCAUGCUACACUCCACAUCUGCUUUCUUGAUGUAGAUUUGAGCGCCUGCCGACAACAGUGAUUCGAGCCUAAGUAAUGCGGAGAUCUUCUGAGAUGAAGGGUGACCUAAUGGCGUCCUAGUUCGACUUAUCUCCAUAUGUAUAUAAUUUUUUCCUAUCUUUUGUAUUCGAGACAAGUUUAUUAAGUUAGUCAAUAGCAUAGGCUCGAAACUAUGACUAGAACAUUGAGUGCAUGACAUGCACAUCUUACUCCUUAUUUUCCUUAUUCGUACCUAUUUUUGUUCAUACUUUCUAAAUUUCACUAGUACAUUAUCCCUUGUUAAGGAAAAUUAUGUAUCCAGAAUAGUAAAUGGUCUGAUCCACUUAAGAGUGAAGGCUAGUUCAUUGAUUGAUACAUCUAAAUCACAUUAAAUAAUAUAUAUUACAUUUUUGAACUGUUAAACUAGAAACAAGAUUUAGGAUUUUUCAAGUGGACCAAAAUACAGAUAUUGAUGCAGAGUACUUAAAGUCUGUUGCUUGCCGAUACUCUAAAAGUAGUGUAUUUUUGGAGAAUCUAACAUGAGUGGAGAGUACAUGCGCAACUUAGCUUAAAAUGUGUUGGUCCAAAAGGAAUGCCCCUUGAUACCAUAAACAAAAAAUACCAUGUUUGCUUUUUAUUCAAUAAUAGUACAAAGAUGACUGAUCCAAACAAUUUUAAGCUCAAACACAAUGUUAUAAGGUAAGAAAAGAACUAAUGUCACAAUAUUACAGGUAAAUCGUUUUUUUUCUUCUUCCUGUUUUUCAAUUUUUAUCAGUAUAAUAUUAUGUAUUACAAAUCUUUAAGAUCCUCAUCCAUUGGUAUGGUAUAGAAGAAGUGUUCAAUUUGCUCGACUGCAUUAUCCUCACCCUGAGUCUCGUUUCCUCUCUUUAUUGGAGCUAGGCUCUCCUUGUAAUUGAAAACCCAACAGCCAGCCAUGUUAAGGUCCAGCUGAAAUCCAAGAUCUGUAACUUGUCUUGUUUUAGGGUCAUAUAGCACCAGCUGUGAAGUUUCUGUGAUCUCGAAAACCAUCUUAUCGUUAUCCCAGAUGUUGCGAGGCCAAUGAGCAUCUAUAUGAGGUUGUACAGUUAGAACUUUGGACCAAAUUCCCUCUUGUUUCAAUACCCACACAUCAUAUAUGGAUGUCAUAGGUUUGCCUGGGUCACCGGUUAAUAAAGCAAGUGAGUUGCCACGCAGUGUAAGCGUCCCCCAAUGUUCACUUGGAAUAGCUGGGACUUGCGUCUCCCCAAACUGCUCGCUGUCCAUGUCAAAAGUGCGAAUCGUGUAGAUCUCAUCAAGGCCCGUACAAAGCCAAUAAUAAACACCGUUGAGAUAAGUGGCGUCAAGGGGUGCAGAUAAGGUAGAACUGGAAGGGAAUUCAGGAGUAAGGUGUUUCCAUGAAUUGUUGCAUGAGGAAUAGACACAGGCAUAGACACGAUUAUUAGCACCUUGUCCCAGUUCAUCCCAGAACACUCGAAUCCAUACGACCUUAUAAUCUAGAGUCAACAGGUCAAAUCCCAAUCCCAACUGAUGAUCAUGGUGCGAGAAAAAGGCCUCAAUCUCAAAAGGCGCAGGAGGCAGAGACCUGAACUCUCUGGUGGCAGGAUUCUACAAACCCAAGCAGACAUCGUCUUCAUAAAACUUCUUCUGCACUAAGAAUAAGCCAUCAACUGGACCAGCAACACACGUGAAAUCAGUGAUCCUCUGAAGCUGAAGGAGAGUUUUUUGUUCAGGGGUCACACCUGGAACAAUUUCUUCAGGGAGCAAGGAGAAUACAACAGACUUUACGAUGGGGUGUACUUCACGUGCUACUUUCAAGUUGCAAACAAGGAGACGGGCACAAUUGUUCUUGUGAUGAAAAUGUUUUUCUAUGAAACUUGGACUUUUGAUGAGAGCAUACCAGUGCUUGCACACACAUUUGUAACGCAAGAGUGAUUCCACUGACAAUCUCAAUAGAAUAUCAACUACUAGAUCUUCUGGUAAAGGGCGGUGACCAUCCAUACUGGUGGAAAUAUAAGUAAAGUGAGAAAACUUACAAACAUAUUGAAAGAGAACAGAUCUAUAAACAUGCUUUAAUAGAACACACAAUGCAACGAAGAAGAUCAAGCAGCAACAUUACCAUGUGAAACAAAAAAUUGUAAGUUACACAUUUGACCACUCGGCCACAAAUAUUUACAUCAGCAAGCCAAUACACAUAUAUUAUGGGUAUACAUAUUUUUAAAAAUAUUUUGACAAAAUUUCUUGUAGAUCAAUUUGGGAGAAAAGAUCCAAAAUAGUUCUUCAUGUUUGGCUUCAGACUCAAAGUCAUCCCUUCCCUUUCUUUUAUAUGGUGCACUAAAUAGUUUCAUUUUCUGGCAUUCGAAAUCCUUUUUAUUACAGUUCUAUAUUUGAUUCUGUAUCAUAUAUAUAUAUAUAUAUAUUUAUCCCUGUCGUCGCCUUAGAUUCAUUGGCCUGAAUUUGAACAUUUAUGUAGCUCGGAACACUCAAAUAUCCGCCGCACUAUACCUUGAUUGCUUUUGACUACAUCUAUGACCAGUAAGUACAAGAUUGAUUGGGUAUUUGGUUUGAUUUUUGAGUUUGUCAUAUAUAUACAUAUGAAGCACUUUGUUAUUACACGAUAUAUCUUAUGAAUAAUAUAGGCAAUGUUUAUGAAGAAUUAGUUUUUAAAAGUUUUAGUUCAAUAACUUUGAUUAAUAUAUAUACUUGUAUGUGUUUGUAUAUACAUUUAUUUCUGGUAUCUCAGCACAUGUAUCAUACCCCAAAUCCUAAAAUUCAUGUGAUGAAGAAUUUGACUUUUAGAUCCGCAACCGUUUUGGGUCCAAGCAAUUUUCUUGUGUUAGAAUCUAAAAGCUGAUUUUCAUUUCUAAAAUCGUAAGUUAAGAAACGAAAGAAAAAAAAAAUACAGAUUUCCAUCUUAAAAAUUUGAAGUCUUCCCAUUUUCUAGUGAACAAGCGGUGAUUUGCUUUUCUAAUUUUUUCCUCACUUUUAAAAAGUGUCUUUUUCCUUAUAGGAAAUAUUUUCCAAAACAUUUGAUCAACCGAACAUAGCAAAAUUGGAAAACAUGUAUCGAACACACACAGAUAAAUACAGAUUUCCAUUUUAAGUCUUCCCAUUUCUUAGUAAAGAAGUGGUGAUUUACUUUUCUAAUCUUUUUAUUAGGCAAUCAAUGAUUUUCUUUUUGUAUUUUCAACGUGGAAUGUUACUAGUGCAACUUAUUUUCCCUACUUUCAUCAUAGAAGUAAUUUAAUCACUUUUAAGGAGUUUGUUUUCUAUAGAAAAUAGUAUUUUCUAAAACAUUUGACCAACGAAAAAAAAGAGAAAAUUGAAAAACAUGUAUCGAACACAACCUACAUCAAUUUUGAAACAGAAAGAGAGAAAUGAAAAGUGAAAAAUGGUGGAAGGAGACAUAUAUAUGUGCCAUCUAAUUUAAGAGCAAAAGCAUAACGUAGAGAAAGAGAGCAGCAAAACACAAAUACAGAAAAUUGAAAUCUAACCUGAGGAAGAAGAGCCGUAAAUGAGAAAUGAGAGUAGUGAAGAAGAGGCAAAAAGCUUUGUCUAUUUAUACUACCUACUAAUUAAUUUAGGACCAAAAAUUUCCAAAGUAUUUUUUUUCUUAGAUUUUGUGUCUAGUCAAAAGAAUGUCAUUACCACUAAGCCCAUUUUCUCAUCUAAUUAAUUAUUGUCUCUAUUGCAAGAGUUUUAUUUGAGGUGUUUCACACCCUUUAAGAAAAGUAGAUUAAGACAUAAAUUGAACAUACUUUUCCAUUUUUACCCUUAUUAAUUAUUGUCAAAUUUAUUGAAGUCAUCACAUUGAAAAUCCAAAUGAAGGGUAAAAUUGGAAGAAUAUUUUAAAAAUAGUCUUGAAGAUUGAACAAUUAAGUUAAUUUGAAAAAUGGAAAAUGCCUCAAAAAUUCAAUUAAUAUGGAAUGAAGGGAGCAUACUAUAAGUGGGAAGCUCCUAAUCUCAAAGUUGAUACAAAAAUACCUUUUACUAUUUUUUUUAUUAAAUAAAUAAUUAAAGUUAAUUAGACCAAAUUUACAUGAUUAGCUGUUAGAGUUUAUCAUUUCUUAAUGAGGCUUUAAUUGUUAUCCUUUGAGCUUCUUCCAUUUACACUUAUUCAAACAGUAGUUUAAUGCUUCACACUUAAGUUAUGAUUCUUCUACCUUUCAUCCUCCGCAUUAUUCUUUCAUCUUCCGCAUUAAUAAUUUUCUCUUAAAACCUUUUCUUAUUCCUUACAUUGCAAUACUCUCUAAAAGCUUACAAGAAGUUGUCUUAGCCCUAUUAUUCUAUUUGUGUUCUAUCGGUCAGAAAUUUCCCUUUUUCAGGUAUAUCUAUGAUUUAUAUGUAUCUAUAUGUGGUUUAAAUCUCAUUCUUGAGAUGGUAUAUGUUAUUUAAUAUUAAAAUAUAAUUAUCUUUUAAGUUGGAAUUAUUUGUCCCAAUGAAAGAUUUAGUAAUGUACAAUACACUUUUCACUGAAUGUUAUAAACACGGAGAUUAAUUGUUUUAAAUGGAUAUACUUCCGUGCAUAUUGUCAGAGAGUAAUUCCUUUAAUACUUUGUUAAUUUUAUUCUGUUAGAAAUUUAAUUUAUUAUCUACUUGAAUAUUGCAAUUUGGUGUAGAAGCUUUUAGAUUAAAGGACUUUUUAAUCGUUUUUAAACUGAAAGACUACAUCAUGUUUGCAUAAGAAAAAGUUCAAAUGAAAUUCAAAUAAAAAUAUCAAUUUAUCAAUUUUUCGUUCUCCAUAUAUAGGUUUUAUUGACGGGAUGCUAGGUAUCCAAACAACCUCUCUUUUUAAAGAAAUAAAUUUUCUCUAUCUUUUUAUGACAAAUGAAGAAAUUUUCUCUAUCUUUGUUAUGACAAAUGUUAUAGGCUUAGACUUUGAUCUUCAUCUUCAAUUAUUAUUACAUACAAUUUAUAAUUAACUUGCUACAAUGGGCAUAUCACUUACGUUAUUAUAUAUUAAUACUUAGCGAUAAAUUCUUCUUUCUAUAGGUCAUUUUUGAAAAUGCUUAAAGUAAAAAAUGAUAUUAAUAUAAAAAAUUGUGUCGCAUAUAAGUUGAUACAAAAAAACACCAAGAACUAGAUAGAUAACAAUAGAUCUACAAUAAAAGUUUUGAUCAUGAUAAAGAAAUUGAAACAUCGAAGUAGAACAUAUACAAUUAAAAAUAACAUCUAUAAGAAAGUAUUAGGUAAAUAUAAUUAUAUCACAUAUUUACACCUAAUAGUAUUACUAAUGAACUCAUUUUAUACUGUGCAUAUCUAACUAAAUUAUAUGGGUACACUUUUCAAGUUUAGAUGACAUCGAAUAAUCAACUCAAUUUUUUGACUAUUCUUUAAAUUGAGCAUGUAAGUCUUUUCAUAUUAAAUUUUCUAUUUAUCAUUAUACACAUAUUUUAAUAUUAUCUUUAUCUAUAUAUAUACUAAUUUACACCGGAGAUAACACUUAUUAGAGACAUUUUUUGAUUAUCUAGAUUGUUAUAAAUGAUAUUACCAAUUAAAUUAGGAUACAGGUGCAUGACACGUGGCCAGAAACUAGUACAGUAAAACCUCUAUAAAUUAAUACUCGGUAAAUUAAUAAUCUCUCUAAAGUAAUAUUUUUCUCCGGUCCCGACUUGGGCCAAUGAAAAAAAUUCUCAAUUUCGAUAAGAUAAUAAGAUAUAUAUUUCCAGAAGACCCCUAUAUAAAUAUAUGGUCCCAUUGAUAUCAUAAAUUAAUAAUUCUUUAAAAGUACAAAUAUAUCUAAGACAAUUUAGUGAAAUAUGAUUCUAUUGUGUUCUGUUUUUUUCUUAAAAUUUAAAUCUAGUUGAAACUCAUCUCUAACUUUUCUUAUUGCAUCCAAGAGCUCCGAUAUUAUCUUUUCGAACUGCACUAUAAAAUUGUGAAGAGUUCUAGAUGCGAUAAGUGCUUCAUUACGCGCAACUGGUUCCAAAGGUAUAAUAUCAUCUUCAACUUCAUCAACAACAUUGCUUUUUCCGAUGGUAUCUGUAACACCCGUAACUAGAAAGAACUAAAAAGGAAUUUUUAAAAAGAGGAAAUAGUCAUUUUUGGAAAGUAUAAAAAUUUUGAAAUUUUCAAGUGUGUUAAAGUUGAGUUUUUGGUCAACUUCAAAUAACCAUAACUUCUAGCUCAUGAUGAGUUAGGUGUGUUUCCAAAUAUCUUAGAAAUAUCUUGGAAUAAUCUUUCCAACGCCGCCAAGUUUACGCGAUUCCGAGUUCGUAUGAGUGAGUUAUUCCCUUUGGAAGUUGGGCUGUUCAAAUAAUAAUGUCCAAUCCGGAUUUUUAAAGGGUGUUUUGGUCUUUUCCAUACCCUAUUAUUUUAGUUCGUUUUUGGUGAAUUAAUUAAGGGUCAAAACUGAAUUGGUUCAGUUUAGGCAAUUGGAGAUUUAUGCUAGGGUUUUUGGAGAAAGAACGCAAGAGGAGAAAAGAGGAGAAAGAGCAAAGUUCGUCGUUCUUGAAGGUUUAGCUUGUGGAUUUCGACAAGGGUUGAUCCCUAAAGAGGUAUGUGAGUCUUUCAUAGCAUUGAGUUCGUUCACUUACGGGCCAAUCAUGUUUAUUUCAUCGUAAAUUCGUCCUAAAAGAGUUUGAAAGUUGAUGUUCUUGACAUCUGUUCUUGAAUUUGAUAUUAUUCUUGAGUUGAGCUGAAAUUGAGAAGUUUCUGAGAUCAUUACGUCAAAUUAUUGAGUUGGUUGAAGUUAGGAUUUUAGGUACAUUUGCUGGGUAUCUGUAUCUAAAAAGAAUUUGGGAAAAAGAAUCGAAUUUGGGCGAAUUAGGGUUGGAAAAUGAAGAAGAAAAUUCGUCGGGCAAAUCUGGGAUCAUUACGUCAAAUUAUUGAGUUGGUUGAAGUUAGGAUUUUAGGUACAUUUGCUGGGUAUCUGUAUCUAAAAAGAAUUUGGGAAAAAGAAUCGAAUUUGGGCGAAUUAGGGUUGGAAAAUGAAGAAGAAAAUUCGUCGGGCAAAUCUGGGCACUGGUUCCGCGUCGUGGACCUGCUCCCCAGAUUUAAGAAAAGUCAUUUCGCGUUGCGGUCAUUGACCGUUCUGCCUCAAAAAGUAUUUUUGCGACCAAAAUUUAAAUACGCCUCCGCGUCGUGGACUAGUUUCCAGGCAGUGAUUUCUUGAUCAUUUCUCAUGUUUAGCUAUCUAAAAUCAUUCCUAAACAUCAUGAGAUCUUUCCUGUCACAAAUCUCAAUCCUUGAACCCACAAUUCAAUUCAAGGAGCAGUUAAUAGUCAAGAGAAGUUCAUAGAGUCUUCCAAGGGUCUUUUACAAAUAUUUUAACUUUGUNNNNNNNNNNNNNNNNNNNNNNNNNNNNNNNNNNNNNNNNNNNNNNNNNNNNNNNNNNNNNNNNNNNNNNNNNNNNNNNNNNNNNNNNNNNNNNNNNNNNNNNNNNNNNNNNNNNNNNNNNNNNNNNNNNNNNNNNNNNNNNNNNNNNNNNNNNNNNNNNNNNNNNNNNNNNNNNNNNNNNNNNNNNNNNNNNNNNNNNNNNNNNNNNNNNNNNNNNNNNNNNNNNNNNNNNNNNNNNNNNNNNNNNNNNNNNNNNNNNNNNNNNNNNNNNNNNNNNNNNNNNNNNNNNNNNNNNNNNNNNNNNNNNNNNNNNNNNNNNNNNNNNNNNNNNNNNNNNNNNNNNNNNNNNNNNNNNNNNNNNNNNNNNNNNNNNNNNNNNNNNNNNNNNNNNNNNNNNNNNNNNNNNNNNNNNNNNNNNNNNNNNNNNNNNNNNNNNNNNNNNNNNNNNNNNNNNNNNNNNNNNNNNNNNNNNNNNNNNNNNNNNNNNNNNNNNNNNNNNNNNNNNNNNNNNNNNNNNNNNNNNNNNNNNNNNNNNNNNNNNNNNNNNNUUAGAUGAUUCUUUAGUGCUUUUUAGCAUAGACUAGUGGAUCCACUUAGUAGUUUAGGUUCUAUACUCAUGGCAAGGUAUAUGAUGUCCUUGGCAGUGUGAGGCAAAACGUUGUAUCAUCACAAUAUCUCUUAAGUGAUGGUUGUCGGUUAGAGAAACUCCCACACAAGUAUUUUGUAUUCUUAUAUACACAGAUUAUUUGUAAUUUCAUAUAAAAUAGAGUUCAUAUUGUAUCUUUGCAUACAUACAAAGUUAUUAUUGUAUUUCUAGAUACAUAGAGUUUCUUUCCAUGUUUUAAAAGCUUUUCUUUAUAUUGCAUUUAUAUUACUGCUUUAGUUGAGUUGAGACUAGGUUUGUCGUACAUUCCAUGUACUGAUGCCAGUUGGCCUGCAUCGUUUUAUGAUGCAGACGUAGGUAACUAGGAUCAACAUCCAGUGCAUCGUUGAUCCAGUUGAGCACUCAGAGUCUGGUGGUGAGCCUCCUUUGCUUUUCCGGAGGAUCCCCUUUUUAUUGCUUUCAGUAUUUGAUUUCAUUAGGAUGUCGUGGGUCUUGUCCCGACAUCUAUAUCAGUUUUAGAGGCUUCAUAGAUAGACAAUCAGAUGUUAGUUAUUUUAGUAAUUUCAUUGUCAUUAUCUUAUGUUGAGACUUGUGUUUGCCUUAAUGGCCAGUUGAAUGUUCAUUUAUAACAUUCCAGUUUAUUACAUAGAUUUAUCUUUGUUGAGUUAAGUCUUCCGCUGAGUAAGUAAGCCAGGCCAAGGGUUUUCUUGGGGCCAACAAUGGUUCUCGAGUGCUAGCCACGUUUGGGGUGUAGGCUCGGGGUGUGAAAAACUUGGUAUCAGAGCAUAGAGUUCAAGAGUCCUAGGGAGUCUAUGAAGCCGUGUCUGUAGAGUCCUAGUUAUCGGUGUGAAGCGCGCCACAUCUAUAAUAGGAGGAUGCAACAUUUAGGAACUAUCUCACUUCUUUCACAUCCAUUUCGUGCGAUAAAGUUAAUCUCUAUAAAGUUUCUUCCAAUUCGUGGUUGUGCGUGUAUUUCAGAUCAUGCCUCUACGAAGAGCUGUCAAAGGUCGUCCGACUAGAAGGAAGGUUGAACCACAGGAACAAGGGGUACCUAAUGCACUAGAAGUGUAACCCCAAUGAGACGUCACCAAUGCUGAGUUCCUUGAGGCCAUUCAGAUGUUGAGCCAAGUUGUGACCAACCAAGCUGGGCAACAGAGAGAGAAUCUUCAGGAAGUGGCUGAUACUUCUAGAGUUUAUGAGUUCUUAAAGAUGAAUCCUCCAAACUUCACAAGUUCAAGUGUCAGCUUUAGACCUAAGGGGAGAUGACGAGAUGAAAAAUCAAGUCAAGUGUUUGAGAAUAAGAUAGUAAUGAGUCCCAAAAAGUAUGGGAGAUAUCUUUUCAGAAGACUUUUAGUAGUGAAGUGAUGUUAAAAGGAAAAGGCUAAUGAUCCAUGUGCAACAAGUUGAGGAGGACAAGCUGAGGGAUAGAGAAUAGUUUAAGAAUAAGAGGGCGAAGACAUCAGGGAAUGAGUCCGGGUGGCAGAAGAGUAAUGCCAACCGGUCUUCCUUCCAACAGAAACAAAAGUGACCUGCUCCAUCAUCUACUAGUGCACCUGUACCAAGAAACAAAUGUGAGUACAAUAGUCAGAAUUCCCAGAAUUUUAGAGCUAGACCUGCACAUUCUCAAGGCAGUGUUGCAUAAGGAGGUAAUGAGACUCAUGCAUAUGCUAAGUGUGGUCGGAACCACUUAGGGGUGUGACGGGAUGACUCCACUGGUUGCUUCAAGUGUGGUCAAGACAAUCAUUUUAUGAGAGAGUGUCCUGAGAACAGGCAGGGUAAUGGUAAUGGGAGACAAUAGAGCCCAGUCUUCUUCAGUUGCUCCACCAGACAGAGCUGCACCUAGAGGAGCUACUUCAAGUACUGGCGGAGGAGCAAACCACCUAUAUGCUAUCACUAGUCGCCAAGAGCAAGAGGAUUCACCAGAUGUUGUUACUGGUAUGAUCCAAGUCUUUAACUUUGACGUUUACGCUUUGCUAGAUCCAGGAGCGAGUUACCAUUUGUAACUCCAUAUGUUUCUAUGAAUUUCAAUUAUAUUCUGAGCAACUUAGUGUACCCAUCAGUGUUUCUACACCUGCUAGUGAGUUUAUUCUAGUAGAAAAAGUCUAUCGUGAUUGUUCCAUUUUCGUUAAUCACAAGAGUACCAUGACUGAUUUAGUUGAGUUAGACAUGGUAGAUUUUGAUGUCAUUCUAGGUAUGGAUUGGCUUCAUGCCUGUUGUGCCUCAGUUGAUUGUAGAACUCGAGUUAUCAAGUUUCAGUUUCCAAAUGAGCCAGUCUUAGAGUGGAAAAGUAGUUCAACAAUGCCUAAGGGUCGUUUCAUUUCAUACCUUAAGGCAGGAAAGUUAGUUUCCAAGGGGUGUGUCUAUCACUUAGUCCGAGUUAAUGACUCUAGUGUUGAGAUACCUCUUAUUCAGUCAGUUCCAGUAGUAAAAAAGUCUCCAGAAGUCUUUCUAGAUGAUCUACCCGUAGUCCCUCAUGAGAGAGAAAUAGACAUCGGUAUAGACCUUCUUCUAGAUACUCGUCCUACAUCUGUUCUGCCAUACUGAAUGGCACCAGUAGAGUUAAAAGAGUUGGAAGAGCAGUUGAAAGAUCUCCUUGAUAAAGGCUUUAUUCAACCAAGUGUCUCACCUUGGGGAGCUCCGGUCUUAUUUGUGAGAAAGAAAGAUGGUUCCCUUAGGAUGUGUAUAGAUUACCGUCCGUUGAACAAGGUUACCAUCAAGAACAAGUAUCCUCUUCCGAGAAUUGAUGAUUUUUUCGAUCAACUUCAGCGUGCCACCUGUUUCUCUAAGAUAGAUCUCAAAUCUGGCUACCAUCAGUUAAGAGUAAGAGAAUGUGAUAUUCCAAAGACAACUUUCAGAACCCGUUAUGGUCAUUAUGAGUUUCUAGUCAUGUCCUUUUGUUUGACCAAUGUGCCUGCAACAUUCAUGGACCUUAUGAAUAGAGUAUUCAAACCUUAUUUAGAUAUGUUUGUUAUCGUCUUCAUUGAUGACUUACUAAUCUAUUCAAGAAAUGAAGAAGAUCAUGCUAGUCAUCUCAUAAUAGUUCUCCAGACCCUAAAAGAUAAAAAAGUUGUAUGCUAAGUUCUCGAAAUGUGAGUUUUGGCUUGAGUCUGUGGCAUUCUUAAGCCACAUUGUGUCUGGAGAGGGAAUUAAAGUUGAUACUCAGAAAAUUGAGGCAGUACAGAAUUGGCCUAGACCCACAUCUCCAACUGAUAUUAGAAGUUUCUUAGGUUUGGCUGGAUAUUAUUUCAUCCCCUUUGACCAAGUUAACUCAGAAAACAGUUAAGUUUCAAUGGUCUGAAGCUUGUGAGAAAAGCUUUCAGGAGUUGAAAAAGAGGUUGACUACUGCCCCAAUAUUGACCUUACCAGAAGGUACGCAAGGCUUUGUUGUAUAUUGCGAUGCAUCCAGAGUUAGUUUGAGUUGUGUGUUAAUGCAGAAUGGUAAUGUUAUAGCUUAGGCCUCCAGACAGUUGAAAGUUCAUGAGAAGAAUUACCCAACCCAUGAUUUAGAGUUGGCUGCUGUAGUUUUGCUUUGAAAAUAUAGCGUCAUUAUCUUUAUGGUGUUCAUGUGGAUGUGUUCACCAAUCACAAGAGUCUUCAAUAUGUGUUUAGUCGGAAAGAGCUUAAUCUCAGACAAAGGAGGUAGUUAGAAUUACUCAAGGAUUAUGACAUGAGUAUUUUUAUCACCCAAGUAAGGCUAAUGUUGUUGUUGAUGCCUUGAGCAGGUUGUCUAUGGGUAGUACCGCCCAUUUUGAGGAAGAUAAGAACGAGUUAGCAAAAGAGGUGUAUAGACUUGCAUGACUAGGAGUUCGACUAAUGGAUUCCACAGAAGGAGGAGUAGUGGUGAUGAAUGGGGCUGAAUCAUCAUUAGUGUCAGAAGUGAAAGAGAAGCAAGACCAAGAUCCUUUAUUUCUUGAAUUAAAAGGCAAGUGUUCAUAAGCAAAAAAGUGAUGGGUUUUGAGAGAUGGUGUUUUGAGGUAUCAAGGUGGAUUGUGUGAUUGAUUUCAAGGGUAAUUUGGGAUGAUCCCCUACCUCUCAUUAAGUUUGCUUACAACAAUAGUUACCAUUCUAGCAUCCAAAUGGCUCCAUAUGAGGAUCGGAGAAGAUGCAGAUCUCUUAUUGGAUGGUUUGAAGUUGGUGAAGUUGGGUUGAUAGGUCCAGACUUAGUUCAUCAGGCUAUGGAGAAGGUGAAAGUUAUUCAAGAGAAGUUGAAAAUUGUCACGACCCGAGCCUACACCUAGACGUGGCCGGCACUCGAGAACCAUUGCUGGUCCCCAAGCGAACCCUUAUCCUGGCUAACUACAAGCGGAAAACUGAUUCAAGCAUACAAAGCUUAAAACUGAAUAGCAUUCAUGAAACUGAAAUACAAAGCUUUAACUCAAAUGAAAAACUCUGAAUAAAAUAAUAUAUUCAACUCGCCAUAAAAUAGGCAACUUAAGUCUUUAAAACAUUUAAUAAAAUAAAUGAAUAAUACAAACUUCUCAACUAUACUAACUAUCUAUGAAGCCUCUAACUGAUAAAGAUGGAAGUCGGGACAAGACCCACGACCUCUUAACUAAACUAAAAAGUAAAUGAAAUCCUCCGAAAACGAGGAGGCUCACCAUAGCUAACUCGAACUCCCGGAUGUGUCAACGAAUCUCCUGUUGAUGAUCCUGAAUACCUGUGUCUGCAUCAUGAGAAGAUGCAGGCCAAAUGGCUCAGUACGCGGAAUGUACGAGCUUGUAAGAGGAAUUCUAAAGCAUAAACAUAAGCUUGAAACUUGAUAAAAAUGGAAAAUACUUGCCUCUUUUCAAACUUACUCAACUCAAGGAAUACUCAAGGAUACUCAAAACUACUCAAACGUACUCAACUCAGAAGUACUCAAAGAUAAGAUACUCAACUCAAAGAUAUGUUAUUCGACUCUGGGUACUCAACUCUGUAUACUCAACUCAAUAUAAAGCAACAAUAAGAGAUGCAAUAUAUAGAAAGCUUUAUAAAAUAGUAAAAACAACUUAGUUCGUUAAAGAAAAUGCAAUAACAAACUCAACUUUACUUAUACAAUAAAGUAAUGUAGUUUAUGUGGAGUUUCUCCAACCGACAACCACCACUAUGAGCCUAAGUGNNNNNNNNNNNNNNNNNNNNNNNNNNNNNNNNNNNNNNNNNNNNNNNNNNNNNNNNNNNNNNNNNNNNNNNNNNNNNNNNNNNNNNNNNNNNNNNNNNNNNNNNNNNNNNNNNNNNNNNNNNNNNNNNNNNNNNNNNNNNNNNNNNNNNNNNNNNNNNNNNNUUAAUAUGAACUCGCAUCCCCAUAUCGAUGCUCAAUACUACUCCCAAAAAAUAUACUUAGCUCUUAUGUUUUAAAAAACCAAACUUCUUUCUUUGGUUUGAGAUAAUUACUCAAAACUUAGCUUAAAAGCUUUCUUGGAAUCGAUGUUCCCUUUCUUGCUCAAAACUCUUUUGGAAAUCUUAAUUUCCUCUCAUCUUAAAUGUGAAAACAUUACUCUUGGAAAUACUUAGUUCCCAUAUAUUAUUUUAAAGAAAAUGAACUUUACUCUUACUCUUUACUCAACUUCAAAGCUUAAGUCUUAAAACAAAAUUUAAACAUUUGUAAAAGACUUCUUAAAAUAUGGUUCAUGCCGAAUUAUGGACGUGAACGACUCAAUGCAAGGUUUUCAAUAACCAAAGAUAGAACUCAAUACUUGGAACUCAAGAACUUCAUUGUUAAUACUCGUUGCAAAAAUGCUCAACUCAGAGGGUUCAUGCGGAAUUAUGAGCAUGAAUAACCCAACUCAAACUUCAUGGGUAACAUGUAAUAGUCCCAUGAUUAGAACUAUAAUCUCAGAGGGGAUUAGAAACUCAAAACUCAAGACUUAGAACUUGAAGAUACUACUCCUUUCAAAGAUAUUGAACUGAUGGAGUUCAUGCAGAAGUUAUGGGCAUGAACGACUUGACUCAAGGGUCAAAAUAUCAAUAANNNNNNNNNNNNNNNNNNNNNNNNNNNNNNNNNNNNNNNNNNNNNNNNNNNNNNNNNNNNNNNNNNNNNNNNNNNNNNNNNNNNNNNNNNNNNNNNNNNNNNNNNNNNNNNNNNNNNNNNNNNNNACUUUUAACUCUCUCUUGAAUGUGAAUUAUGAAUUCAAGAGUUAUGGCUCAAGCUAUAAAAGAUAUCAUGACGAAAAAAUAGACUCAUGAAUACAUUCUCCUCACUCUCAUGCUCACUACUUGAGUGUUGAAAGAAGUUACUAGAAGUUGUAGAAGACUCCACAAAAGGACUCAAAGGGACUUUCUUAGAAUGUUUGAAAGAAUUCUCAAAACUUAGCUCUCAACUCUACCUUGAAUUUGAAUUAUUAAUUCAAGGUUAUGAUAAUGUUAUGAAUGAUUUCUAGGUGUUUAGAAGUAGUUUAAAGUGUUUAGAAUCAAAGGGGAGUAAAGGUACCAUUUGAAAGAACUCAAACAGACGAAACGAUGAACAACGGGUGGGGGCCGGCGACCCUGGCGCUCUGAGUCACGUGGGGCGCCAGCCCCUAAAGUUCAGAGAGGUGGUUGGGGCUCUCUGGCUGGCGUGACACUCCAGGCCCCAACCCAGAAAAGUUCGACGACUUUCUUUGCUCGUUUUCUCACCCUAAGUCGCCUAAAAUCGAACAGUUUCUUCCCCAAUCACUUGGAUUUAAUUAAUUAACAUUAAUACACUCUCAUAUACUCAAAACAACACUCAAAUUACUAAAUUUCAUUUGAAGAAAUCAUCAAAACCCCAACACAACAAGAUUUAGAAUGAACUUCAAGAACACCUAUCAAGAACUCAAAUCUUUCAACUUCAAGAAUGAAAUUUGGGCUGAAAAUAACAUGUUUGGAGUGUGGGUGAACAAACCCAACAUUAUGGAAGCUUACAUACCUCUUAGGGAUCAAACCCAUGGCAAAAAUCUGCAACAAGACGGAAGAAUCUCGACGAACGCUUGAUCCUCUCCUCUUUUCUCUUCUUUUCUCUUCUUGAACUCUCAACUAAAACCCUAGGCAUAAACUAGGAUUAUAAAACUGAACAUAAUCAAAUUAUACCCCUAAAAUAUUACUAAAAACGAAUUAAAUCUGAUUGGGUAAGGAAAAGACCAAAAUACCCCUUACUAUUUUCGACUAACUUUCCUUAACUGGGUUGCCUAACUUCAAAAGGUCAUAUCUCACUCAUCCAAACUCGAAACUUAGAAAACUCGUUGGCGUUGGAAAGAUAAUUCAAAGAUAUUUCCUACGGUAUCUGGUAGCACACCUAACGCAUCCUGAGCUAGGAUUUAUGGUCGUUUGAAGUCGACCCAAAACUCAUACUUAAGCAUAACUUGCAAAAUUUCAGAUUUUGCUAUUUCCAAGUUUGAACUUUUUUGGAACUCAAGGUGCUACAUCCAGUGACCUUAAAACUUAAGAAAUUUUUAAUUCCUUGGAAAAAUCUCACUUACUACGAUGAACGGUUCGAGUCUUAGUUCAAUUUUUUUUUUGGGUGUUACAAAAACAGCGUAGAGUCCUCAGAAAUCCUACAUUGAUGUUAGGAGAAAGAAGUUAGAGUUCGAAGUAGAUGAUUGGGUCUACUUGAAAGUUUCACCCAUGAAGGGUUUUAUGACAUUUGGUAAGAAGGGGAAGCUUAGCCCCCGGUAUAUUGGUCCUUACAGAAUAUCCAAGAGAUUCGCAAUGUAGCUUAUGAGUUGGAGCUACCUCAAGAGUUAGCAGCGGUUCAUUCGAUUUUUCACGUCUCCAUGUUGAAAAAGUGCAUGGGCGAUCCUUCUUUGAUCAUACCAACCGAAGAUAUUGGGAUCAAGGAUAGCUUAUCUUAUGACGAGAUUCCUAUUCAGAUUCUAGAUCGCCAAGUUCACAAGUUGAGAACAAAAUAGGUAGCAUCAGUCAAAGUCUUUUGGUGGAAUCAAUUUGUUGAGGAAACUACUUGGGAAUCGGAGGAGGAUAUGAAGAAGAGAUAGCCACAUCUCUUCGAAUCAGGAGAAAUUCCAGAACAAGGUACUAAUUCAUUUCUUAGUACUCUUUAACUUAUGAGAUUGCAUGUUGUAGUUGCAUUGGUUGUUGGCUGUUUGAACUGAAUGUUAGAUGUUAUGCCCUUAACUUACUAAGAGUAAGCUCAUUCGAGGAUGAAUGUUCCCAAGGGUGAGAUAUUGUAACACCCGGUAACUAGAAAGAACUAAAAAGCAAAUAGUCAUUUUUGGAAAGCAUAAAAAUCUCGAAAUAUUUAAGUGUGUUAAAGUUGAGUUUUUGGUCAAAUUCAAAUGACCAUAACUUCUAGCUCAGGAUGAGUUAAGUGUGUUUCCAGAUAUCUUAGGAAAUAUAUUGGAAUAAUCUUUCCAACGCUGCCGAGUUUACGCAAUUCUGAGUUCGUAUUAGUGAGUUAUGCCCUUUGGAAGUUGGGCUGUUCAAAUAAGGAAAUGUCCAAUCCAGAUUUUUAAAGGGUGUUUUGGUCUUUUCCAUACCAUAUUAUUUUAAUUCAUUUUUGGUGAAUUAAUUAGGGGUCAAAACUGAAUUGGUUCAGUUUAGGCAAUUGGAGAUUUACGCUAGGGUUUUUGGAGAAUGAACGCAAGAGGAGAAAAGAGGAGAAAGAGAAAAGUUCGUCGUUCUUGAAGGUUUUACUUGUGGAUUUCGACAAGGGUUGAUCCCUAAAGAGGUAUGUGAGUCUUUCAUAGCAUUGAGUUCGUUCACCUACGCGCCAAUCAUGUUUAUUUCAGCGUAAAUUCGUCCUAAAAGAGUUUGAAAGUUGAUGUUCUUGACAUCUAUUCUAGAAUUUGAUAUUGUUCUUGAGUUGGGCUGAAAUUGAGAAGUUUCUAAGAUCAUUACGUCAAAUUAUUGAGUUGGUUGAAGUUAGGUUCUUAGGUUUAGGUACAUUUGCUGGGUAUCUGUAUCUAAAAAGAAUUUGGGAAAAAGAACCGAGUUUGGGCGAAUUGGGGCUGGAAAACGAAGAAGAAAAUUCGUCAGGAAAAUCAGGGCACUGGCUCCGCAUCGCGGACCUGCUCCCCAGAUUUGGGAAAAGUCAUUUCGCGUCGCGGAGCGGUCACAGACCGUUCUGCCUCAAAAAGUAUUUUUGCGACCAAAAUUUAAAUACACCUCGACGUCGUGGACUAGUUUCCAGGCAGUGAUUUCUUGAUCAUUUAUCAUGUUUAGCUAUCUAAAAUCAUUCCUAAGUAUCAUGAGAUCUUUUCUAUCAAAAAUCUCAAUCCUUGAACCUAUAAUUCAAUUCAAGGACCAGUUAAGAGUUAAGUCAAGAGAAGUUAAGAGUCAAGUCAAGAGAAGUUCAUAGAGUUUUCCAAGGGUCUUUUACAAAUGUUUUAACUUUGUUUUAAGACUUGAGUUUGAGUUGAGUAAAGUUUGAAGUUCAUUUCUUCAAAAGAGUAUAUCGGGACUAUGUAUUUCCAAAGAGUAAAAUGUUUUUCACAUUUUAAAGAAGAAAUGAAACUUUGAUUUCCAAAAGAGCCUUUGAGCUAGUUUUCAGUGAAGAGCCUUUGAGUUAGUUUUCAGUUUAAAGAGUAAAUGCUUUCACAAUAAAGCAAGAGAGGAAACUUAGAUUUUCAAGAUAGCCUUUGAGCUCAGUUUUUGAGCAAUUAUCUCAAAUCACAGAAAGAAGUAUGUUUUUUAAAACAUAAGAGCUAGUAUUAUUUUGGGAGUAGUAUUGAGCACCGAUAUGGGGUAGAGUUCAGACAACUCACAACCCCCAUAAACCAUGUAGCCACCAUGGGUAGAAAAGGGUCCUAUUGUUUAGAUGAUUCCUUGAUGCUUUUUAGUAUAGACUAGUAGAUCCACUUAGUAGUUCAGGUUCUAUACUCAUGGCUAAGUUUAGGACGGCCCUGGCAGAGUGAGGCAAAACGCUGUAUCAUCACAAUAUCUCUUAAGUGAUGGUUGUCGGUUAGAGAAACUCUACAAUAGUAUUUUGUAUUCUUUUAUACACAGAUUAUUUGUAUUUUCAUAUACAAACAGAGUUCAUAUUGUAUCUUUGCAUACAUGCAAAAUUAUUAUUGUAUUCCUAGAUACACAAAGUUGCUUUCCAUGUUUUAAAAUCUUUUAUUUAUAUUGCAUUUAUAUUACUGCUUUAUAUUGAAAUCAAUUCAAUUCAGUUGAGUUGAGACCAUGUUUGUUUCUUCAGUUCCUUUUAAGCUUAUGUCUUGUUUUAGAUUUCCCCUCGCAUACUCGUACAUUCAAUGUACUGAUGCCAGUUGGCCUGCAUCUUUUCAUGAUGCAGACGCAUGUAACUAGGAUCAACAUCCAGCGCAUCGUUGAUCCAGUUGAGCACUCAGAGUCUAUGCUAAAAUGCACUUAAGGAAUCAUCUAAAAAGUAUGAUCUUUUACUAUCCAUGAUGGCUACAUGGUUUAUGGAGACGUGAGUUAUCUGAACUCAAACUCGUCCCUAUAUCGGUGCUCAAUAUUACUCCCAAAAUACUCAGCUCAUAUGUUUAAAAACAUAACUUUUUCUGUGGUUUGAGAUAACUACUCAAAAAUCUAUUCUUAAAAGAGAUGAUACUCAAACUGCUCAAAACUCUUUUGAAAAUAUCUGUUUCCUCUCAUCUUAAAUGUGAAAACAUUUACUCUUGGGAAUACUUAGUUGCCAUAUAAUCUUUGAAGAAAUAAACUUUACUCUUACUCUUUACUAAACUCAAAGCUUAAGUCUUAAAACAAAGUUAAAACGUUUGUAAAAGACUUCUUAAAAUAUGGUUCAUGCCGAAUUAUGGACAUGAUGGACAUGGAUGACUCAAUGCAAGGUUUUCACUAACCAUAGAUAAAACUCAAUACUUGGAACUCAAGAACUUCAAUGAUACUGCUCAUUUCAAGAAUGCUUAACUUAGAGGGUUCAUGCAGAAUUAUGAGUAUGAACUACUCAACUCAAGGACUCAAGGACUCAAAGAUACUUCUCAUCUGAAGACAGGAACUCAACACUUAAAGGCUUAGAACUUGAAGAUACCACUUCUCUGAANNNNNNNNNNNNNNNNNNNNNNNNNNNNNNNNNNNNNNNNNNNNNNNNNNNNNNNNNNNNNNNNNNNNNNNNNNNNNNNNNNNNNNNNNNNNNUUAGGAACUCAAUACUCAAGACUUAGAACUUGAAAAUACUACUCCUCUCAAUGAUGCUCAAUUUAUGGAGUUCAUGUGGAAUUAUGGGCAUGAAUGACUCCCAAUAACGAACUAAUGUAUACGACUUUUCUCCAUACUUACUUAUUCAAAACUUAACUCAAAUUGAUGGUGGAUCUAAAAGGAUUCACAAUUGAAAUCAAAGUCUUCCUUGAACUCUACUCUUUAACUCCUCUUGAAUGUGAAUUAUGAAUUCAAGAGUUAUGGUUCAUGAUAUGUAGGAUAUAAAUGAUAGUGUAGACUCAUGAAUACAUUCUCCUCACUCUCAUGCUCACUUACUUGAGUCUUGAAAUAAGUUAUUAGAAAUUGAAGAAGACUCCUCAAAAGGACUCUCUCAAAAUGAUUAAAAAAACUCUCAAGACUUAACUCUCAACUUUACCUUGAAUUUGAAUUAUGAAUUCAAGGUUAUGAUUCAUGUUAUGAAUGAUUUCUAAGUGUUUAGAAGUAGUUUAGAGUGAUUAGAAUUAAAGGGAGUGAAGGUUCACUUAAAAGGGGCUCAAACGGGACAACCGACGGAAAAUGAGUUGGGGCAACCAACCCUGGCGCGUUCCGGGCGCAGGGAGCCAGCCCCUAACUUCAGAGGCUGCAUAUGGGUGCACUGCAGGGGCGCUGCCCCAGCCCCUUGGUCGCAUUUGGGGCGCGCCACCCUAGCCUCUCCCCAGGUCAAGUUCGACGAAUUUUGCCUCUCGUUUUCUGAUCCUAAAUCACUUUUAAUCGAUUUAUUUUCUCAAGUUUCCCUUAAAUUCAAUUACUGAACCUAAGUACACACUAAUCCACUCAAAACAAUCACUUUCAUCUCGAGAAAUCAUCAAAACCCCAACAAGACAAGAUUUAGAAUGAACUUCAAGAACACUUAUCAAGAACUUAAAUCCUUUAACUUUUGAGAGUGAAAUUGCGCUGAAAGUAACAUGUUUGGCGUGUGAGUAAACAAACCCAAUAUUAUGAAAGCUUACAUACCUCUUAGGGAUCAAACCCAUGGCGAGAAUCCGCAACAACACGCAAGAAUCUUGACGAACGCUUGAUCCUCUCCUUUUUUCUCUUCUUUUCUCUUCUUGAACUCUCAACUAAAACCCUAGGUGUAUUUUAGGAUUAUAAAACUGAACCUAAUCAGAUUAGACCCCUAAAACAUUACUAAAAAAUGAAUCAAAUUUGAUUGGGUAAGGAAAAGACCAAAAUACCCCUCUAAAAUUUGAUUUUGAGUUUCCUUAUCUAGACAUCCCAACUUCUAAUGGCCAUAUCUCCCUCAUACGAACUUCAAAUUGAGUAAACUCGGUGGCGUUGGAAAGAUAAUUCAAAAAUAUUUCCUAAGGUAUCUGGUAGCACACCUAAAUCAUCUUGAGCUAGGUGUUAUGGUCGUUUGAAGUCGACCCAAAACUCAUACUUAACUUAACUUGCAAAAUUUCAGAUUUUGCUAUUUCCAAUUUAGUUCUUAUUGGAACUCAAGGUGCUACAUAUAGUUACCUUGACACUUAAAGAAAAUUUUAAUUUCUUGAUUAAAUCUCACUCACUACGAAGAACGGUUUAGGUCUUAGUUCGAAAAUUUUUCUGGGGUGUUACAAAAUUCUUCUUCAAUAAUUGAAUCUAUUAGUUAGUGAACUCGAGUAAAUGGCUAAAAACAUCCCUGAACUAUACCUCAAACUCAAACUACAUCCGUGUAUCAUUACAUUGAACAAAAAACAUCCUUCAACUAUCUAAAAAACUGCAAGUUACAUCCUUAUGUUAACUUUCUAUCAAGAAACUAAUCACUUUAAGUAGAAGCACACAACAUUCCGAUAAAGGCAAACAAUUUUGCCCACUCACUGAUCUUCUCUAUCAAGUAGUAAACUAGUAAUCAUAUUAAAAGGUAUUCUAUGACUAGCAUUAUUGUAGGAAUAUUAAUUAAUUAAGGCCUAAAGAUUUAUAACUUGGGACUUGUUCAACUUUGGUUUGUCCCUUUUUUAAUUUUACUGAGCUUGUUAUUAUGUUGUUAGCUUUUCUAUCAAGACUCUUAUUGAUCCCAUGCUAUUUCGAGUUUGCUUUAUUUUUUCAUUUUCUAAUUAGUACGUUACUCCUCCAACAACAUUCAUCAAAUUUCCAAUACUCUCAACUAAUUAAAUGAAAACUUUAAACAUAAAAAUCAGAUGUAAACCUUGCAGAUUUGUCUUUGGACAUAAAAAUAAUAAUUAUGUGAUACUAAAAUACAAGGAUUUGAACUCUUAAUUAGUGUGUGUUUUGGUGCUGGGAAAAAUAAUUUUUAAAAAUAUAUUUUCAAUUUUUCAUAUUUAAUUGACCAAAGUUUUUGAAAAAUAUUUUAUCUAAGAAGACAAGUUCUUAAAAUAUAAAAAAAAAUGAGUUGUAAUAUCGACGUAGGAAAAAAAGCUCCACAAAUGACAUUUCAAAUUCAUUCACAAAUCCUUUUAGCAAAGACAAUGUUUGUUCUAUGUUUAAGAAGACAGUGAGGGGACAAAAUCUCUUUUCAUUAGGAGAUGGUCGCUAUAUUUUUGAUAGAAAAUUAAGGAGGGAUGUAACUUGUAACUUUCAAAAUAGUUCAGCGAUGGUUUUUGUUCACAAUAAUAAUAUAAGGAUGUAGUUUGAGUUUAAGGUAUACUUAAAGGAUGUUUUUGGCCAUUUACUCUAGUGAACUCCUCCAUUAAUGACUAGUCUAAAGUUAGAUUCUUGUAACUUUCAAUUUUGAUUUUGAUUUUGAACUACCAACAAAUUAUCAAAGUGAUGAAAAGUAUGUGAUUUGGUGGUGGGAAUUGACUUAGUGAUGAAAACCUGAUGAGGGCGGUGACCUGGUGGUUGAGGUGAGCCACCGCUGAUGUUUAGUAUGGAUCUGAUGAUGAAGAUUGAAGGGAAGAGAUAAAGAAGGUAACAAAUAAAUAAAAGGAAACAUAUUUUUAAAAAAGUAGAAUAUUAAUAUAAAUUAAAUAAAAUAUUUAUGAAGUUAAUAUUCUAAUUAUUUUUUGAUCUCUCACUCUCCCAAAGAGAGUGAACUAUACCUUCUUUGCCACAUCAACAUUUAGGGAGCAAAUAACUCCAUUUUAAAAUAGUCCAGGGGUGUAAUAGGACUCUUGUAAAGUAUGAGUGUGUAGUUGGGAAUCCGACUAUUGGUUGGGGGCAGUGGCGGAGCCAGAAAUUUUAAUAAUGGGGUUCAAAAUCUGAGAAGUAAACACACGAACUAGUGGAAGAGGGUUCGACAUCUAUUAUACAUACAUAAAAAAUAAUUUUAACCAUGUAUAAAUAGUAAUAUUUUUCGUCGAGGGGGUUCGGAUGAACCCCUUCAUUACAUGCUGCCUCCGCCCCUGGUUGGGGGGCUUUUGGCCAUUUUCUCUUCUUUUAUAUGGUGCACUAAGUUUCAAGUGUUAGUGCACUUUUAGUCUCUUUAUUAACAUCCAUUUACUCAUUAACGUUUUGAUCGAUCCUUUACACAUCCAUUUAUGGCCUCCGCUGUAUACGUUCUGGUACAAAACAAAUUAAUUCUUAGAUUUAUCUUAGCAAUUGCAGAUGAGUCUUCAUUUAUACUUGUUUUAUUUUUUGGCUCUGCAUCUUCAUUGUUUGGUGUGCACCAUUAAAGAUUUGCUAAUUCUUUAACUUUCUCCUCUAUUUUCCAUACACAAUUAAUAGGCUGACUAAGCCUUUGGGUUUUUCCUGAAUAAAAGUUUCUUGUGCUUUGCCUAUAUGUAUAUCUGGAGCAUAACCAAAGAAUAAAAUAAAAACAAGAAAAAAGGAAAAAUAUAAUGCAUGUAUCAAUAUCUCAAAUUAGAGUCGGAUAAAGGGUGUGUUCUAAUCAAAUUUUUUGGAAAAGAUUUUGUUUAGGAAAACAAGUUUCAUACGUGACACUUCAAAUGAAAAAAAAGACUUUGUUUAGGAAGUAGGGAAAACAAGUUUCAUAUGUGACAUUUCAAUUGAUUAUAUUGUCCGCCCACUCUCUAAGACACCACAUCUUCACCUCAGUACUCCCAUAGCUUCCAUACCCACUACCCUACACAUCUACCCUACCUCCGUCUCUCAUAGUAUUUGUCUAGAUUAUACGUAAAUGCUUUUAGAAUAACCAGCCAAAUAGAGUCAACAGGAGGAGACUAGUAAAGAAGUAGUCAUGUGGUUUUCUAGUCUUUUCAUUAACUAGUCAAUAGUUAUUCUUGAGCUACAUAUCAAGUUAGCAUAUAGAGCAAUUUUGCAGGUAAUUUAAGGAGCAUUAAACAUUAAUUAUCCUUUUCUACUAUUAUCAAUCUACAAAUCCUUGGAAAUGGAACAAUUUUAACUUACCCAAUAUUGAAAUGUGAAAGAUGGACAGAAGUAAAAAGAAUUAGCGUAACAAUGGCAGCAAAACCCUAUAUCCCCAAAUAGGACAAAUUCAGAUUCAGAUUUAAAAAAAUAAUCAGAAAUCUAACCUUAUAAGCUGAUGAAGUAGAAGUGGCAAAAAGAGAUACUGGAUUGAUUGAGUGGUGUUGUAGAAAUACCUCAACAGUUGACUACUUCCUCACAUUUCUUUUGUCAUUAUAUUUUAUACAACUCCUUUUAAUUCCUUUUAUCUAAGUUUUUAAUUAUGCGGUGGAGUAAUAAGUACUUAUUCAUAUUUAGUUAGAGGUUUCGGAUUUGAGUCUUUUUGGCUAUAAAAGGAUCUUUGUUAGGGAGUGCUUUACCCAUAAUUUGAGAUUUUUUGGCACAAAUUCAAAUUUAGUGAGGCUCUAAUUUGGAUAUCGAACACUGAGUGGAAAACCAAAAAAAGAAAAAUUACCAUAGGGCUCAUUUGGUAGGUGGAUAAAGCUACAUCUACAUGGUUUUUCAUGUAUUUAAUUUAUAUAAUGUUUUGUUGGUAGAAUGUUGUAUAAAAGUUAUUCAUGUAUUAACAAAGAUGUUUCUCUCUACGAUAUGUUCCCGCAAGAGAAAGAGUUUGUUAUUUGAGGGGGGGGGGUUAUUUGGAGUCUUUUAACCACAAUUUGAAGCCUCGACAUAUCUCUUUUAUCCAUGGUUCAAGGCCCCGACGUAUUUUUUUUGCCACGGUUCGAGGCCCCAACAUAUCUCUAUUCGCCUUGGUUCAAAUCCUAACAUGUGGUUCAUUUGGGUUCUUCGGGGUGCCUUCACCAAAGUUCAAGUCUGGAAUCAGCCAUUGCAGUUCUUGAAAGCUUUUAAUGUAGCUAGUGUUAUUCAUAGUACUUCUGUGUACUUAUCAGACCUAAGUGAAUCCAAACUCGUUUGAGUUAUUUACUUUCCAAUUGCGCACGAAUAUACGUACUUGCUGGGCUUAUAGGGUCCAGUUAGGUUAUAGAUAAUUGUUUUACUUUACUACUUCGUUCUAUCCACACUUGUGAGCUAUAUAGUUAGAUUUUCUGUUAUUGCUUUGUUCAUUUUACCUCUAAUUACCGUUACUUUCAUAUUGUUUUUACUUUCCAAGUUUAGUCAAACUAUGAUGCCUACUCGACACAUGUUGUUUUGAUAUUCAUGCUACACUCCACAUCUGUUUUCUUGAUGUAGAUUUGAGCACCUGCUGAUAACGGUGAUUCGAGCCUAAGUAAUGCGAAGAUCUUCUGAGAUGAAGGGUGAGUUGUUGGCUUCCUAGUUCGACUUAUCUCCAUAUGUAUAUAGUUUUUUACCUGUCUUUUGUAUUCGAGACAAGUAUAUUAAUUAGUAAGUCAAUAGCAUAGGCUCUAAACUAUGACUAAAACAUUGAGUGCAUGACAUGCACAUCUUACUCCUUAUUUUCCUUAUUCAGGGCCGUCUUAACCUCUAGGCCACUAAAGCCAUCGCUUGGGGUCCCAUAUAUUUUGGGUCCCCCAUUUUAAAAAAACAAUUACUUAUAUAUGUUAUUUUUUUAAAAAUAAAUUAUAUGUACUAUUAGCGUUAUGAUUUAUGCUAAAGAAAUUGCAUAUGAGAUGAAAAUAUACCUUAAUUUCGUAAGAAACGGUUUGAUGAAAAUAUGGAUAGAGAAAUCACAAAGUCCCUUGAAUAAUCUUUUAGUGUUUAUUGAUUUAUAUAUGUAGGGUAGAUCAAACUAUUUUUUCAUUUCAAAAUAGAUUCGAACCAAUUGAAGCAUAUAUAUGGAAAUAUUUUUGAUUUCUUAUUUAGUAGUAAAAUGUUGAGAUCACUAGAUGAUGAAUUUAAAAAAUAUUGUCUUAACCUUGAACUUUCUUUAACAUGUAAUAGUUAUUCUGAUAUUGAUGGUUUAAAUUUAUUUUUUGAAUUAAAAGUGUUAAGGGAAAUAAUACAAAUAGAAGAUAAUGAUCUAACAAAAAUACUCAAUCAAAUAAAAAGACUUGAUUCUUUUUCAAAUACACAUAUUGCUUAUAGAAUAAUGUUAACAGUUCAUGUAACCGUUACCUCAGCCGAAAGAAGUUUUUUCGAAAUUAAAAUUGAUUAAAUCUUCUUUAAGAUGAACAAUGUCUCAAGAGAGAUUGAAUGAAUUAGCUAUAUUACCAUUUGAAAAAUAAUUAUUAAAACAAAUUGAUUAUGAAACAGUACCUAUUGACUUCGCAUCUAAAGUAGCUAGAAAAGAAGAUUUUAAAUAAAAGUAUAUAGGAUGAAAAAAAUAAAAUAUUAGGGCCCCUCUAUUCAGUUUUCCUUUAGGCCCCUAAUGUUGUUGAGUCGGCCUGGUUAUUCGUACCUAUUUUUUUCAUACUUUCUAACUUCACUAGUACAUUAUCAUUUGUUAAGGAAAAUUAUGUAAACUGAAUAGUAGAUGGCCUGAUCCACUUAUGAGUGAGUGCUAGUUCAUUGAUUGAUACAACUAAUUCACAUUAAAUAAUAUAUAUUACAUUUUUGAACUGUUAAACUAGAAAUAAGAUUAAGGAUAAGGGAACUCUGUAUUAACUUCACUUUUCCUUAUUAGUAUCAAAAGUUUCUCGUUUAGGAAAUAGGAAGUUUUGAAGGACUAAUAUUAUCCUUUCUUUUAAAUUGAACUCUAUCUAAUGGCUGAUUCUAUUUAUGAAUCAAUCCCUUAGGUGCAUUAUUUCCAUAGGUUCCAACAUUGGUAACAAAAUCUAGCUUUCUCGCUUGAAUUGGCAUAAUUCUAUACUUCCCUCAUCUUAUCUAUCACGGAGGCCGCUCCCACCUUAUCCCUUAUAUCCUCAUUCUAAUCUUUAUCACUCCGAGUAUGAACACGCAUCCACCUCAAUAUCCAUAUCUCUGCAACAUGCAUCUUCUAGACAUGAGAGUUCUUGACUGGCCAACUCUCAUUUCCAUACAACAAUUUACAUACACACUCUAUAUAAAUACACACAUACAUAUAUUGGUGGAAAAAUCAUCAAUAGAUGAAACUUAAACAAUACUCUCUCUAUCUCAAUUAAUGUGACAAUUGGAUUUUAUCUUUUAAAUUGUUAAUUAUUGUGAUUUACCUUUUCACAUAAUUUUCAAAUAUAUAAAUUUUAUAUAAAAAAAUUUAAAGCUUCUGUAUCCGAAUUUACUGUCAAAUUAUAGAAGUUUGAAUCUCAAAAUUUCAACUAAUGCCACGUAAAUUAAAUCAACCCUAACACUCAAAAAAGCUACAAAUAAUUCAAACAUAGAAAGUAAAAAAGAAGUAGAAAAAACCUUGAUAUAUAUAUAUAUAUAAAUAAAUUAUAUAUUGAUUUGUAAUUGGUUGCUGUCACUUCUGAGCAAAAUCGUGCACACUCAAUGGAUGCUGUUACAAGUAAUAUUGGUGUACAAAUAACUACCAAAAACAAAGGGAAAAUGCCAAGAGUUGGGGUUGAUGCAUCGCGAGUUGGUUCAGGCCAAAAAAUAAUGGAUUCAGGACACAAACUAAUGGAUACAUCUGAUGUUGAAGAUGCUGAAGAUUCUGGACAGCAUGUUUUGCAAGUUGAAACCAAGAAUGCAACUAAAAAUUGGACACUAGUUGCACACAAAAAUUCAACUAGUAAUCGGAGCCUUUCCCGACUAAUCAAAAUAAUUCUCCAUGUAGUGAAAAGGGUGCGACUGAAAAUUUUCAUGACAGUGAGAAGAGGCAAGAUAUUAGUAAUGCCUCAAGAUACCUAUUUUGUUCGAAUAGCUUUGAUGCUUUAUCAAAGACUACUGGAAAGAAAGUAAAGUUAACAGAGAAUGACAACGAUUUGAUCUAAGAAAAGCAAGUCUCACCACCUACUUUGAAUAGCAAAUUAAGUCCAAAAGCUCCCAUAUUUGUGCCUAAAUGCGUGAUUGUAAAGAAGAAUGAGACAAGGGCCUUAGUGUCAGAUACAAUUGAUUUGAGCGAGGAUUCUCUUGAUGAAGAUGAGGAAGACAAUAUGCUUGAUUUGGGCGAGGAUUCUCUUGAUGAAGAUGAGGAAGAUAUGCUGGACAUAUGCUUUGACAGAGUGGCUAGGGAAGGAGAUAUAUCACCUCGGCAACAAAUAAGUAGAAGCAACAAAAGCAAAAAGAAGACACAUGGAAGGCAACAUAGUUGAGACGGUAAAAUGACUGAGGAGUUUGUUCCAAGGCACCUACCAAUGCGACAAGCAAAGCAGAACCAUUUGACAGUAUCAAUUGGUUCAACAAGAUCCAAUAAAUCCAUAAAGAAAGUAUGAAUUAUCAAGUGUUGUUGGAUAAGUUUGAAGAAGAAGACAACAGAAAAAUACUUUAAGUUACUUUUGAUGGGCAAUCAAUCUUUUUUAAUUCAUGCGUUUGUAAUUGAAAGUUUGAGGUUGAUAACUCAACUUUCUUCUUGAUUGACAUAUUUUUACAUUAUUUAAGCAUCCUAGUUUGUAAUAUCAUCAUGGAGUGUAUUACAAACUUUGUGGUGAUCAGAAAAUACUUAGUUCUCUCUAGCUCUUAUUUUCUUCAUGCUUGUUAGGUAGUAGACGUUAGGUACUUCAUUAGGAUUAGUACGGUAAGGCCUACCCCCUUGCUUGCACUUAUCCCUAUUGAUUUUUUUUAUGUUUAAUAAAAGGCCACUAGACACUGUCUAGUGGUAAAUUUGCGGGAAAAAAAAACCUUGAGAUAAUAUGCCUUGCGAAUUUCCUCUUGAGAUGCUAAAAGACUUACAUCAAGAACAUCAUAAUACUCUGUCUCUUUAACCAUUUUCUUUUCUUUUUCCAAAAUCCCAAUUAACAAAAAACUACUCUUUUACCUCUUCCAAUACUCUGAUUACCUUUUUUUGCGCUUGUAAAAUUUUAAAGUAGGAGCGGAAAACCAUUUGACUGUAAGGAAAAGAAACAAGCCGUGUUGAGAAUUGAUUUAAAAUCUUUUGUUUAAGUUUACUGCUUAGGAUAAGUUUUACAGUAGGUUGAAUAAGUCUUUUACUAGAAUUGAAAUAGUCUUUAUUAGUUACUACUUUUCUGGUAGUAUUUAGUCAAGUGGCGUCUAUUAUCUUUCUGAGUUUGUUAGCCUAUAAAAGGCGUAGAGACUUCUAGUUAAUAAUCUCUCUUCUUCCUACAAGCCAAACAAAAAAAAUGAUGAGUGAUCCAAACAAUUUUAAGCUCAAACACAAUGUUAUAAGAAGGUAAGAUAAGAAAUAAUGUCACAAUAUUACAGGUAAAUCGUUUUCUUUUUCCUGUUUUUCAAUUUUUAUCACUAUAAUAUUAUGUAUGCCAAAUCUCUAAGAUGAGGCCUCAUCCAUUGGUAUGGUAUAGAAGUAGCGUUCAAUUUGCUCGACUGCAUUAUCCUCGCCCUGAGUCUCGUUUCCUCUCUUUAUUGGAACUAGGCUCUCCUUGUAAUUGAAAACCCAACAGCCAGCAAUGAAAAGGUCCAGCUGAAAUCCAAGAUCUGUAACUUGCCUUGUUUUAGGGUCAUAUAGCACCAGCUGUGAAGUUUCUGUGAUCUCGAAAACCAUCUUAUCGUUAUCCCAGAUGUUGAGAGGCCAAUGAGCAUCUAUAUGAGGUUGAAUAGUAAGAACUUUGGACCAAUUUCCCUCUUGUUUCAUUACCCACACAUUGUAUAUGGAUGUCAUUGGUUUGCCAGGGUCACCGGUUAACAUAGCAAGUAAGCCGCCAUGCAAUGUAAGUGUCCCCCAAUGUUCACUUGGAAUAUGUGGGACUUGUAUCUCCCCAAACUGUUCGCUGUCCAUGUCAAAAGAGCGAAUCGUGUAGAUAUCAUCAAGGCCCCUACAAAGCCAAUAAUAAACCCUGUUGAGAUAAGUGGCAUCAAGGGGUGCAGACAAGGUAGAACUGGGAGGGAAUUCAGGAGUAAGGUGUUUCCAUGAAUUGUUGCAUGAGGAAUAGACACAGGCAUAGACACGAUUAUUAGCACCUUGUCCCGG
rnacentral:lncRNA from 1 species